GUCUUUGUUCUUCUAAGCUGUUUAGAGAGGGUUUUAGAUAUGACAUUCCUACACACUAUAUUUUUUUCCCUAAAUGAGAUGAGAAAAAUAAUCAAACAAAAAGAAGAGAGAAAAGGUUUGUAGCUGUAGCUUUCAUGAAUCGGAAAUCAAAAUGUCUCAAACACAAGCAAAUUCAACCCCUUUUUUUUUUGGGUCAGGACAAGCAAAUUCAACUUCUCAAAUUCUUUUGAGGGUGGGUGAAAGAGGUAGAAUUUUCUCUUUGGAUAUUGAUAUAUAUAUGAGUGCAAAACAAAUAUAAAAACCAAUGAAACAGUGCAGACCAAGUACAAAAGUCUAUGAAAGGGAAGUAUAGUAAGUAAGGAGCAAGAAUAAUAAAGUGGAGUGAUGAUGCUCGAUCAGUGCCUUCAACCGUGUGCAAUUUGUACCUGAGUGAGGAAGAUAGGAUUAGAGAAUGCAGGUAAGGGAAGAAAGAAAGAAUGUUGCCAGAGGAGGAACAGAGAUGACAGAGGGAGAGAGAAUUUGAAUUACCAAAAGUUGCCUAACAAACAUAGUCACGCAGCCGAGUAUUAGAGCAUUUCUUUCUGCUGCCUCUCCUCAGCUGCUCAACCAUAUCUGCUGCCAAGUGUCCCUUUUGCAUAACAGAAUUUAUCUUGUAUUCAGUGCCAAGUUUGCCCCUCAUUGCUUGGUCAGCCCCUAAUUCCAUUUUUCUUAAUUUGCUCGUGACAUUACCUCCUCCAUCAGCAGCAACCUUGUCCUCAAGGUUGAAAGUUGGGUAUGCCUCAUAGAAUUCCUCUUCAAACUCCCAAGAAGAAGGAGCAUCAUCAGCUUUUUUCCAUUGGACUAAGAGUUGUUGCAGCUCACGACCACCUUGCACAAUAGUCCUCUUAGCCAAAAUGCUGGUAGGGGAAACAACAGGUCCUCCUUCAGUAGUCUUUAAAGGCAUUGGAAGAUAAGGAAGCUUGCCAAAUCCCUUGAACUUCUUGAGCAGCGAAAUAUGAAACACAUCAUGUAUUUUAGCCUCAUUAGGUAACUGUAAUUUGUAAGCUACAGGGCUUACCUUGUGGAAAAUUUUGAAGGGACCAAAAUAUCGCAUUCCCAACUUCUGAUUUUUUCUUAAGGCAACUGAGUGUUGUCGGUAAGGUUGUAGUUUUACCAAAACCAAAUCACCUACUUCCAAUUCACCCUGUUUGCGGUUUUUAUCUGCAAAAGCCUUCAUAGACUGUUGAGCAUGAGUCAUAUUAACCUUAAGUUGAGCCAACAACUGAUCCCUUUCUAGCAGCAUCUCUUGCAAUGAAUGAUCAUCAUUAGGAGUAAUUUCAUACUUAACCAAAGAGGGAAGAUCUCUGCCAUAGAGGGCCUUAUAGGGAGUCAUUUUAAUAGAAUUGUGAAAGGUUGUGUUAUACCAAUACUGUGACCAAGGCAGCAUAAAAAACCAACGCUUGGGGUUGUCAAAGCAAUAGCAACGCAGAUACAUCUCAAGAGCUUUGUUUAAAACUUCACUUUGUCCAUUCGAUUGAGGGUGGUAUGCUGAACUCAUGGCCAAUUUCGUGCCCUGCAAUUUAAACAAUUGCUGCCAGAACAUGCUGAUAAAGACUCUAUCUCUAUCAAAAAUUAUUUUCCUUGGAAAACCAUGCAAUUUCAUCACAUGUUGCACAAAGUUUUCAGCUACCUGUUUGCUAUUAAAAUCAUGUUUGAAAACAAUGAAAUGAGCAAACUUGGUUAAUCUAUCAAUCACCACCAUAAUCACUGAAUAGCCAUGAGAUUGUGGAAGAGCAGUAAUGAAAUCCAUACAAAUUUCUUUCCAAACUUGGGAAGGCACUGGUAAGGGCUGCAAUAAUCCUGUUGGAAAUUUGUUCUCCACCUUAGCUUGUUGACAAAUAAUACAGUUCCGCACAUAUUCUUUGAUCUGCUAUUGCAUAUUUGGCCAAUAGAAAUUAGAGCAUAUUCUAUCAAUUGUUUUAGCAGAACCGAAAUGCCCCCUAUGGCACUAUCAUAAUAUUCCUUGAGGAUUAAUUGAAUAAGAGAGCUUUGUUGAGGAAUAACCACCCUAUUUUUCCAUAGCAGCAACCCAUUCUUAUAAGAAUAAUUUCCAUCAGUUGCUGUUUUCUCUCUACACUUCAGCAAGAGUUCCUUAACAGAGCCAUCAUUCUCUAAGUCAUUUUUAAGUGUCUGCAGCCAAUUCAGAUCUGGACAAGACCAAGCGGCAUAGUAACAUCUAGAUAAAGUAUCAGCAGCAACAUUCUCUAUUCCCAAUUUAUAUUGGAUUUCAAAAUCAAAUCCCACAAACUUGUGUAGCCAUUUCUGCUGUUCUAGUGUGCUCAGACUCUUUUCUAGCAGAGCCUUCAAACUUUGUUGGUUCGUUUUAAUGACAAAUCUCUUACCCAACAAAUAAUGCCUAAAUUUUGCAAUGGCUUUAGUGAUUGCAUAUAAUUCCCUGGUAUAAACCGAUUGACAUUGCAUGGUUGGGGACAAUUUCUUUGAGAAAUAAGCAAUAGGGUGUUUACCUUGGCUUAGAACAGCCCCUAUUCCUAGCCCAGAUGCAUAUGUCUCCACCUCAAAAGGCAAUUCAAAAUUUGGUAAAGCCAAAACUGGCUCUGAAGAAAUAGCUUUCUUUAGUUUCAAGAAGGCUUCCUCAGCAUCAUUAUUCCAGAAAAAAGCAUCAUUCUUUAAAAGAUUGGUCAAUGGGGCUGCCAAAGAAGCAUAACCUUUGAUGAACCUUCGAUAAUAACCUGUCAAGCCUAAGAAUCCUCGCAAUUGUUUCAGAUUCUUAGGUACUUGCCACUCUACCACAGCUUUAACCUUCUCCUUCUCCACGUGCACUCCUUCUUUAGUGAUUGUGUGGCCCAAAUAGUCGAUUUCUAAGACCCCAAAGAGGCAUUUAGACAAUUUGGCAUAAAGUGUGUUUUGCUGUAAUAGCUUCAGCACUGUUUUCAAAUGGCCCAAGUAAGCAUUCCAAUGCAGACUAUACACCAAAAUGUCAUCAAAAAAUACCAACACAAACCUUCUCAAAUAAGGUUUAAAAACAUCAUUCAUCAAUGCUUGAAAAGUGGCUGGAGCGUUGGUUAAACCAAAUGGCAUGACUAGCCAUUCAUAAUGCCCUUGAUGGGUUUUAAAAGUAGUCUUCUCUCUAUCCUCAUUCUUUACUAAAAUUUGAUGGUAGCCUGACCUUAAAUCAAGCUUUGAAAAGAUUGUAGCCCUAAACAGUUCAUCUAACAACUCAUCAACAGUGGGAAUAGGGAAGUUAUCUUUAAUUGUAAUGUUGUUUAGUGCUCUAUAAUCAGUGCAAAACCUCCAAGUACCAUCCUUUUUCUUAACUAACAAGAUUGGAGAUGAAAAAGGACUCUUACUUGGCUAAAUUAUUCCCUCCCCAAGCAUCUGUUGCACCAUUCCUUCAAUAUGCUCCUUUUGCGAAUGAGGAUAUCUAUAAGGUCUUGCCUUCACGGGUUGAGCUCCUGGAAUCAAUGGAAUAGCAUGGUCAUGCCUUCUAGCGGGUGGCAGUCCUGAAGGGGCAUCAAACACCCCUGCAUAAUUCUGUAAAAGCAAGGCCAACUCAGGUUCUAGUUCCUGAGAUAAUUGCAGCUGCUUCGUAUUUCCUUGCUGCUGCGAUAGAGCCUCUUCCCUCCCUUCUUGUAAUUGUAGAGUAAAAGCUUCAGCAACUGAAUUAGUGUGAAAGAACCUCUUGAUGUGGUUGUAUUGAGCAUGCCUCAGACCAAUGUAAGCAUCACCAAAAAUGGUUAUAAACCCACCAUUCUGCCAUAACUUUAUAAAUGAGGAAUCAUAAUCAACAAUAUGAGCUUUUAGUCUCUUGAGCCAAGUAGUGCCAAGUACUAAAUCUCCACCUGCGACAUGUAAGACAUAUACUUGUGGAACAAUCAUUUUGUGGCCCUGCAUAUCAACCUCAAGAGCCUUAAUACAUCCUUCCACUUUCAUCAAUUCAAAGUUGCCAACCAUGACAUUAAAUCCAGGUGCUGGCUCCACUGGAAAGUUAAGAAAUUUUGCAAUCAUUGGUUGGAUAAAACUAUCAGAACUUCCACCAUCAAUUAACACUUGAAUUUCAUGACCAAGAAUCCUUGCGGUCAGUCGGAUUGUAGCCAACCCUUCAGCUCCAUUCAUUGCAUUAUAAGACAAAUGAUGAUCCGUAACUUGCUGUUCUAACUACUACAUCACAUCCUCUUGGGCAGGUUGUUCAGUAUUAGUCAUUUGCUGUUCUUCAGUCUCUUCCUCUGUUAUUUCCUCUAAUUGAAACAACAUAAAGUGUCUGUUGGGACACUUAUGUGUUGGGGAAAAACGUUCAUCACACUAGUAGCAUAAACCUUUUUCUCUUCUCAUUUGUUGCUCAGCUGCCGUGAGGCGUUUAACUUGGUUUCUAUUGGGAUUUAUGACAGGUUUAGUGGCUGGAGUGGGUAGUAAGGGUGGUAAUGUUUGGCGGGGAAGGACAGGCUUAUUUUGUUGUCCAGGGCUUGUUUGAAGGUUUUGAUUUGAAUGGAUUGUUUGGUUACGGUAAGUGUUUGGACCUUGUGAAUUUCGGAAAGAUGAUAAAAAUUUGUCCUCAUAUAAUCUAGCUAAGCUCACAGCUCUAAUUAAUGAGGGAGGGCACUGAGAUUUUACCUCACGUUUAAUGUCCAUACGUAAGCCACCGAUGAAACAGUCUCUUAGAGCAUCCGGAGGCUCAAGAUUGGUCCGAUUAGCCAGGGACACAAAUUCUGCGUAGUAUUCUGCUACCGAGCCUUUCUGCAUCAGUUUGAACAAUGAUUCUCGUGGAGAAUCGAACAAAGACGGGCCAAACUGUUGUUCGAUUGCUUGAUGCAACUCAUUCCAAGAGUGGAAUGGUAAUGAACGUUGAGCCAUUUGAAACCAAGGGAUNNNNNNNNNNNNNNNNNNNNNNNNNNNNNNNNNNNNNNNNNNNNNNNNNNNNNNNNNNNNNNNNNNNNNNNNNNNNNNNNNNNNNNNNNNNNNNNNNNNNNNNNNNNNNNNNNNNNNNNNNNNNNNNNNNNNNNNNNNNNNNNNNNNNNNNNNNNNUUCUUCCUCAGGCACCCGAUAGAAGUCAAAAUACUGGUCCACAGAGAAGAUCCAUCCCAACGCAUCUGAACCAUCAAAUUUUGGUAGAUCGAAUUUUGGUUUUCUGAAGUGAGGUUGGUGAUUGUGAAAACCACCCCCAUGACCAAAAUGAGAGCCAUGGCUAAACUCCGUGUGAGGGUCAGUUUCAUGGCUUGUAUUAAUUAAUAGGCUGCUUUUGCAGCACCUGCAUAAUGGAGUUAUGCAUCGUCUCCAUUCUCAAACGCAUUUUUUCAUUGUUUCUCGCAACCUCAGCUCGAUGAGCUUCUUCAUUUUUCUCAACAAGCUCAUACAACGUUUUAAUAUCAGCUUCUACCUUUUUAAACCUCGUGCCUUCUACCAUGUCUCUCAACGAAAGCACCAAAUGAAAGAGGUAGAAUUUUCUCUUUGGAUAUUGAUAUAUAUAUGAGUGCAGAACAAGUAUAAAAACCAAUGAAACAGUGCAGACCAAGUACAAAAGUCUAUGAAAGGGAAGUAUAGUAAGUAAGGAGCAAGAAUAAUAAAGGGGAGUGAUGAUGCUCGAUCAGUGCCUUCAACCGUGUGCAAUUUGUACCUGAGUGAGGAAGAUAGGAUUAGAGAAUGCAGUUAAGAGAAGAAAGAAAGAAUGUUGUCAGAGAAGGAACAGAAAUGACAGAAGAAGAGAGAAUUUAAAUUACCAAAAGUUGCCUAACAAACAUAGUCAUGCAGCCGAAUAUUAGAGCAUUUCUUUCUGUUGCCUCUUCUCAACUGCUCAACCGCAUCUGUUGUCAAGUAUCCCUUUUAUAUAACAGAAUUUAUUUUGUAUUCAGUGCCAAAUUUGCCCCUCAUUACUUGGUCAGCCUCUAAUUCUAUUUUUCUUAAUUUGCUCUGCGCCUAAGAGGUACAACAACAGGAACGAAGCCCCAAGAAUAUGUAGGAAAGAGGCCAGCGACCUGGAAGUGGAAAAUUGCAUUUAAUAUUCUGGGCUUAUGGGCUUUAGCUGGGAGGUUGUCAUUGAAUAGCUUGGGCGUAAAUGUCACAGAACUAGAAGGAGGAUGACUUAGUAAGGCCAAUAAAGAAAAAGCGCCAACUCUGCUUCAGCCACUGCUCAAUUGAUUACAUAGAUUCUAAGUUUCUAACUCACGUCCAAAAAAAAAAAGUGAUUCCAACUAGUGUUUACUUUUGUUUUUGUCUUUGUGUUUUUGUUCCCAUAUCGAACCUUACAUUUUAACUUACCAAGCAACCAUCCGAGGUCAGCUCGCUCAUAAGUGUUGUGGUUCAAAUUUCAUCUUUUACAUACAGCAACUCAUGUAGAAUCUUAAUUAGAAUUCUGAUCUGUCACGAAUUAAUUUUUGGUUUAUCGAAUUGGAAAAUAUUGUAAACAACAAAAAAAAAAACUUAUCAAACGAAUAGACACGUUUCUAAUUUGCCAUACGUACAUAUUUUUCAUAAUUAUUUUUUAGUGUGAAUAAUAAAAGAAGAAAUUUGAGAAAGAAAAAAAGGAAUUUAUAUAUUAAAAAAUGUGAAACUAAACCUUUAUUGUUCACAUCCAAAUUAAUAAAGAGGAAGAGUACACUCAAAUGGGUAUACAUGUGUGUGUGUGUGGCACAGCAAUAGUCUUGAGCAAUUACUAUUUUCAUUUCCAAUAAUAACUACUGAUAUGAUACACCAUCCAAUAUGCAUUUGUCGGGCGUAUAUAUACUUGGGUAGUGUGAGACUGUGAGGUGGCAUUGUUAAGCCCUGAGGUGUUGCCUUCCCUUGCUGCAUGAUAUACUCAGUUCUGAUAUACUUUUGAUGGCCUGAUGCAUGCAAAUUCAACUUUUUCCUCUAUAAAUACAGGAACGAAAUCCCAGUUGUAAUCAUCAAAACCAUUCCAAACCAAUCCUUAUCAACCUCCCACUGCACCAUGAAACCAUUUUGUGUUUUUCUUACUUUCUUUCUCUUGCUAGCAGCAAGUAGUAAGAAGGUGGACUCAGCCGAAACAGUUUCCUUCAACUUCAACUCUUUCAGCGAAGGAAACCCCGCAAUAAAUUUCCAAGGUGACGUCACUGUUCUUUCAAAUGGCAAUAUACAACUCACGAACCUCAACAAGGUAAAUAGCGUCGGCCGUGUUCUUUAUGCCAUGCCGGUGCGCAUUUGGAGCAGUGCCACCGGCAAUGUCGCCAGCUUCCUCACCUCCUUCUCUUUCGAGAUGAAGGAUAUCAAAGAUUAUGAUCCUGCCGACGGUAUCAUCUUUUUCAUUGCACCGGAAGAUACGCAGAUUCCUGCCGGCAGUAUUGGUGGUGGAACCUUAGGCGUCUCUGACACUAAAGGGGCGGGUCACUUUGUUGGAGUGGAGUUUGAUACCUAUUCCAACAGUGAGUACAACGAUCCACCCACUGAUCACGUUGGAAUUGAUGUAAAUAGCGUGGAUUCGGUGAAGACCGUGCCAUGGAAUAGUGUGAGUGGAGCAGUGGUGAAAGUGACUGUGAUAUAUGACUCUUCAACAAAGACAUUGAGUGUUGCUGUGACCAACGACAAUGGCGAUAUUACCACCAUUGCUCAAGUUGUUGAUUUGAAGGCGAAGCUUCCGGAGAGGGUCAAGUUCGGUUUUUCUGCCUCCGGCUCCCUUGGCGGUCGUCAGAUACAUCUCAUCCGUUCAUGGUCUUUCACUUCAACCUUGAUAACAACAACCAGAAGAAGCAUCGACAAUAACGAAAAGAAAAUAAUGAAUAUGGCAAGUGCAUGAUUUGGUUUCUACGUACGCUACCUAGUACUUUUAAAGAAAGACCAGACCUUUGUGUGUUAUCAACUUUGUUUCUUUGUGUUUAAAUUAGGUUGUAUGGUUCAAUAUUUCCACUAAUCAUGGUCUGACGGUUGACCGUUUAAAUAAAAUAACAGGUCCAGUUUGGUAUAGUUUUUGUGCAUGGAUUUGGGUGUGAGAUUUUCUGUUGAAUCUCAUUCAUCCUUUCACCAGGCCAAUUAUAUUAUGCCCAGAUUCAAUAAUAAAGUCUGAAAUAUGAAUUUAAUAAUUAUCAUGAGUAAAAAUUUUUAAUUUUAAUAAUAAUGACAUAAUAAAUAUAUUAAAAAUUUAAANNNNNNNNNNNNNNNNNNNNNCAAAAGAGGAGUGCUAGGAGCUGUAACACCCUACUACACAGAGUUUUACGCUUAAGUCGUAGAACUAGAGGUAGUGUGGUGUUAUAGACCUCUGAACAGUAAAAUAAAUACUUAAUAGAGAAGAUGAUAAUAUACUAGGAGUCUUGAAACAAAAUGGGUAAGCAAAAAUCGUAAAAUGAAAAGCGCAGCGCUCAACGGAAAGAAUUACUUGCGUGCUAAGAAACCUAAUAGAAACAAGAUAGAGAUAAGCAAAAGAAUAAAGAAAAGCCAAGGAAACAGCAUAACUAGCCCCUGACUCAGCCUGCGAAACUAAGAUAUAUAUAUAUAAGUAUCCCCAAAAUAUACCAAAAUACCAAGUACCUUCCUAUCUCUCCCUCAACCUCUAAGAGGAGCAGCAUACACAUGUUACUUGGAGAGUAAGCUAGAUACAUAUGUACAUAUAUACAAAUAGAAAACCAAAAUACACCCAAUGGACUACUUCACUUCCCAAGAUCCAGACGCCUAGUGAGGAACCUCUCGACCUGCAUCUGAAAAACAACAAUACAAUAUGGAAUGAGAACCGGAGGUUCUCAGCAUGGUAAAAGUGCCACACGUAUAAUAAAUAAGGUCCUGAGAAUGCCAUAGGCAAUCCUAGAACUCCGUUAUUCAGUUAUCCAACUUAAGUACUAAACAGAAGCCAUAAACACGGGGUAUGUAUUCUAAAUCUACCUAACUUACUCAAGUUCAAUCUUAACCUAAUAUCAAACCAUUUCCCCGUUUUCUCCAUCUCUCCAUCAUUCAUAAUGCAACAGAAACAAGCAGCCAAAUGAGUUCACGCACAAGUAAUGAGCAGAUAGUACAAAUAGCAAGUAUAACAGAUAGCAGGUGAUAUAUAUAUAUAUCAAUUAGGCAAACCCAGGAAAUGCAUAGCAAUCAAACAAACAAAUGCAUAUGAUGCAUGCCUGUUGCCCAUCUGUCGGUUAUCCAGCCAACCCAACAAGUCCAAAAAUCUUAGACUGUCCCCCGUCGCGUAUCCCCAAGAGUCUAUGCAUAGAGUUCACAUUCAAUCAUCAUAUAAUCACUCAAUGGGGCUAUCUAUACUCGGAAAUUUAUACGUACCCGGUCACCCUUACGACGUAGGGUCAAUAGAGUAUCGAGAUUCAACCUGGAACACGUGGUGGCGAGCCACGGUCUUUACCCAGGAAAACUCGUAUCUCAGAUAUCAUUAUUCAUAAGCCAUUUCAUAAUCAUAUUCAUUAUUUAAUCAUUCAUCAAAGCCAUUGCAUAUUAACUUCAUCUAUUAACACUUCCUUUUCACACUCCUCUUCCUAUUUACCCUUUUCUUCACUCUCAAGUUAUCUUAAACUCCUACUUCUGCUAUUUACUAAAUUUACUAGUAGGAUCUAGGAUUAACAGGGCAUAAAUAGGGGUUUUAGAGUUUAAAACCAUGUUUAGAACAGAAAAAUAAAGGUACUAAAAAACAAGGCGUGUGCGCACGCACACACCUGUGCGUGCGCACAGCUCAAAAAAGAAAGCAGGACGUGUGCGUACGCACUUAUGCGUGCAUGCGCACAUAUCACUUGGUGUGCGAGCGCCCCACCUGUGCUGGUGCCACCGAUAGAAAACUCGCCCUGGCGUGUGCGUGCGCACAAGAGUGUGCAUACGAACACUUUAUGAAAAAUACCAAGUGUGCGGGCGCACAGAGGCGUGCAUACGCAUAGGUAGAUUUUCGCUUCUAUUGGGUGCGCGCGCACAGCUGUGUGCGUGGGCACACAUCAGGAAACCUGGUUCUGCUGCAACCUUUAAAAUUUCAGUUUUUCGCACCAAUUUUUCGGCAUCCAUAACUUCCUCUAUAAAAUUCGGUUUUCCGUAAGCUUUAUAUCAAUUUCAAGCUUAUAAAACACUCUUUAAUUUAAAAUAAACCUCAUGAUUAUUCAAAAUGUGUAGAGCAAGAUAUGGACUACCAAAGUUCAUCAAAAUUUACAUUUUAUCAAAAAUACCUUAAACCCCAUUUUUCACCAAUUCUCAUUCUCUACUCCCAAAACCUGCAAGUUUACAGCACCACAAGUCUUAUUCCAUCAUCAUCAACCACUAGCUCAUUAAUGUCCACAACAUUCCAUAACAUCCACCCAAUAAUCCCAAUAUAUCAACAUAUAUCACAACCCAUUAUAAGCAAGUCCAAAAGUAUGAAAUUAAUAACCUCAUAAUUCCAAUUUAAGCUCAUCAACAAUUUAUUCCAACAACAUUACAAACUACUCAUUAAGUAUAAUUAACAAUUCAACUUAUCUUAUGGUUCCUCUAACCUAAGUUUUCACAACACCGUAAAUAUUAAACGUGCGAAACUUAAACCAUACCUUGGCCGAUCACUUAGUUCACCCAAGGCAGCCUCACAACACAAAAUUACAGCCUCUCCAAGCUUAAUUAAACAGCCCCAAACCAAGCUUUGAUCAUCAACAAGCCUCUAAUUACUUCCAAUUCAAUUUCAAUACUUAUAUACCCACUUAAUCUACACCUAAUACAUAUACAUGUUCAAAUUUCAGUUUUCCAUUACAAAUACAAGAUUGAGCUAGGGUUAGUUUGUUCUUACCAUACCCAUAUGCUCAAUAGCUUGAGCUCACAAGUCCCGGAAGCUAACUUGAACCUAGAAUACAAAAAUUGGACAAGAUUUCACUAUAGGUUUUCAAUUUUACCAAAGAAAGAGGGAUAGAGAUUCUGAACCAAAUAUGAGACUUACUAGUGAAAUUGUUCGGAUAGAAAGGUAGAGCUCGACGCGCUAGACGCGUGACUGCAAAAGGUGCGGCGAUCGGAGCUCAAACGAGGGAGAUACGGUGGUUUGAAGGUUGGAUGAAGGUUAGGGUUCUUCUCCUCUCCCCCUUUCUGUUUGCUUCGUUGGUUGCAAAUGAAAGAGAAGAAGCGGCCGCUUCUUUUAUAUUAUGGGUCCGAUUAGACCCACGGGCCCGGUUUGGGCCCGGUUCAACCGGUUAGACCCUUUCGGUCCGAUUUUGGGCCAAAUUUUUUAAAUUGGUAUCAAAAUUCUUGUUUCGACGAGUUCUAUCCUAUUUUGAUAUUAGUUUUGCAUUCUUAGCUUUCCUAAUUAAAAUUCGAUUUAUUGACUAAUUAUCCGCUAAUUUCACGAGGUUUACAGGGGCCAGCAACUUUUGUGUUUUGUAACCAUCAAUUGGCCAUCAAUAGUAUUUUUAAUGGUGUGAGAUUAUAUCUAAUAGUGGGAGAUCACUCAUUUUUCUUUUGAUGGUUAAGUUUUGGUCACAAAACACAAAAAUUUUUGGCCCCUAGACUUUCUCUUUUUGCAAUUAGAUUAAGAAUUGAUGUGAUAAAUUUUUUACUUUUUAAAAAUAGUGAAUUUAUUAAAAUUAAUCACUUAAUUUUUUAAAGUUAUAGUANNNNNNNNNNNNNNNNNNNNNNNNNNNNNNNNNNNNNNNNNNNNNNNNNNNNNNNNNNNNNNNNNNNNNNNNNNNNNNNNNNNNNNNNNNNNNNNNNNNNNNNNAAUGUACAGAAACAAUGGAACAAAUUAAACAUCAUUUUACGUAUACUACAAGAAAAUUUUAAAAUAGUGACCGAUUUUGCGACUAAUCAAAAUGUUUUAGGAAAAGAAAAAGUUGGUCGCUAAAAUUAGUCGCUAAAUUUCAAUUAGCGGCUGAUUUAGUGACUACCUACUCUUGGUCGCUAAAUUCGGUCGCUAUUUUUUAAUUUAGCGACCAAAUUAGCAACCAAAACAAAAAAAAAGGCUUUUCGGGUCUGUUGGUGACUAAAUCGGUCGCUAUAUUUAAUUUAGCGACCGAUUUUGUAACCAAUAUAAAAAAGUCUUAAUAAUUGUUGGUCGCUAAAUCGGUCGCUAAGAAGUUGGUCACUAAAUCGGUUGCUAAGUGUUAAAAUAGCAACUAAUUUAGCGACCAACUUUAAAAUGCUACUUUUAAAGUAGUUGGUCGCUAAAUCGGUUGCUAUUUUAUAAUUUAGCGACCGAAUUAGUAACCGAUAUAAAAAUAGGCUGAGAAAAUAGUUGGUCGCUAAUUCGGUCGCUAAGGUACCGGUCGCUUAAGGGAUAAUAUAGCAACCGAUUUUAGCGACCAACUAUAAAAUAUGGGAUUAGAGCAAUCGGUCACUAAAUCGGUCGCUAUUGUAAUUCUUAGUGACCAAAUUUGCAACCACUAAAAAAUAAGUUAUAAAUUAAUUAGUUGCUAAAUCGGUCACUAUUUUUUUUUUUGUUGACAAAUCAGUGUAUUAAACAAAUUAAAUUUUAAACAACAAUGUUAGGAACCAAGAGCAUAUCAGCCAAAACCCAGCCAAAUGUGUCUGGGCUAGGACCCGAAAGCCCAAUACACAUCAGCACCAUCCAAAAUUGACCCAGGGUAAACCAUAUUCACCCUCCCCAAAAACCCUACCCUUCCUUUCACCGUUUUACCACACAGAAUUUGAAAAUCAUCUACACCCACGUCACGCCUCCGGAAACAUCGCGCAACCCUCUUCCCUCUCUUCUCCGGACACCGCGACGCCGCUCCUAGCGGCUUUGCCCAUCGCGACUCCACCCAAGCUACCUGAGCGCAACCCUCUUCCCUCUCUUCUCUAGACGCUUCGACGCCGCGCCUAGCCUCCCCGCCCAUCACGCCUCCACACUCGGAACCAGAGCGACGCCACUCUGCUGUUGCAUGCGGGUUUUUUCGGCGCCGCCGAAGCUUCCUGGUGUAGCUGCGCCGUCCGCCGGUGGACCUCCCCUAUCUCCAGCCUGGAAUCCUUCAUUCGUCUCACUAAUUGGUAAGUAUGGUAGAUGUUCCCUUUGACUUCCUAUGCAUGUUUUGAAAAGGGAAUUGGACAGUGUUUUGUUGUAGUGGUUCGUGUGAGUUUUAAUUGAAUGGAUGUUCUUUCCAUGUUGUACAGCUCAGGUAACACAAUUUUGGAGCAUCACUGGUCCUUGGCGAAUAUAGCAGCUGCAUGUUUUUCCUAUUUUCGGAGUGUUGCAAAAUAUUGAUCACAAGUAAGUAUGUUUUUUUAUUCCUAAUUGAAUUUGGUAGAUUCUGAUUAAACUCUCUAAAAGGGAAGAUAGGAAAAUAAAAAAGUAAAAGGGCCAGGGUCAUGGUAUGAUGAAGCAAUGUAAUACUAGUGUUGAAAUAAAAAUGGUCCAUAUAUCCUCUUAUAACAUUCUAUUUCUAAAGAGGCAUGAUGCCCAGCAUUCCAAAAAGAAUAAUGAAAGUAUAGCAUUACUUCAAUUAGAAAUCGAAUGUUGUUGAAGUUUUGCUCGGAUGUUGCAAUUGGUAGAGAUUGGAUGUUGCUUUUAUCUGGGUUGGAUAUUGUAAUUGUAGUUGUUAGAGGUUAGAUGUUUCUAUUCUGCUCUAUGGUUUAGAUACUAGGAAUGGUAUUCAUAUGAGAUGUUCUUUGAUAUUGCUAAAUUACUAGACGUUUUUGUUGAAUAAUUUUAGAUAUUUGAGUGUAUGAUUUGUUAAAUUAUUAUAAAUAGAGUAUUUUUUCUUUAAUUCAGAAGUUGAGAAGUUCUUGAAAGUAUGAAAUUUUCUUAUGUUUUUUUCUGAUUUGUCAUAAAAUGGUGAUGUUAUGUUGCAUCAUGUUUCGAUUAUCAAAGGGAGGAAAAAAGAGUUUAUUUCUCUCCAUCUUUCUAUGUUUAUGCUUUGGUUGGGGUUGCAAAUGGGUUUGAUUUUGAAAUUGGCACUGCUGUUUUCUUCUUCACUUGUUUAUUUAUUAUUGGUUUAAUUUUGCUUACUUUUUCAGCCUUUGAAGGCCUUGUUAAUUAUUAGAGAAUAGCCAUAAUUCUAAACACAUCAACUUCAAUUAAGAAUUGAAUAAUCACUGUUCAAGUAGCUAUUUUUUCUUCAUUUAAAUUAAAAAACUAAAUUGUUGACUCCUAAAAUUUGAAGUUGGUACCAUUUGAGACCAUGACACAUAGAUGCUGUAAUAUUUGUAAAUUAUUACAUUGUUGGUUAACUACUUGCUAAACUAAGGUGAUUAAAUGGUAAUUAUAGUGUACAUUCGCUACUUGUUUUGUUUUUUCUCUCUUCUUCUAAGAACAAGAGAUGGUGUGUAAAAUAUUUUAAUAUUCAAUUAGGCCAUCAACCAAAUAAACUAUAUGAUGUUUCUAUUAUAUUUCACAUCCUUUCACCAUCACAAACAAACAAGAUUUGAAUGUAGGGACAUUACAUGUGGCCCUCUUUUUUGGCCUAAAUAGUGGGUCCAUGUUUCUAUGUGAAUUUUAGCCCUUCAACCGUGUGAAUUUUCCAAUUCUUUUAAUGGUAUAAAUCAUCUAUUAAUGUUUGUCUAAACCACUUUUUUUUACUAUAAGCCAUUUACAGUAUGAGGAAAUCAUUUAUUUUUUAUUUUGACUUUGAUUGGUAAUUGAUUUUUGUUGUUUUCUUAAUUGUGUUCCGGAUUUUGGGUGGUGAAAUUAUAAUAAAUGUUGGCUGAUUUGUGUUUCGGAUGGUGAAAUAAUUGUAUUUUGGAUGGUAAAAUUGUUGUUGUUUUUCUAUAUGCAGUUUUGAGGGGCUGUUUCUUGUGAGACCGCAGCAGGAUUGAUUUGUAGUAAAACCCAACUAAUAUGGGGAAAAAGGUAAAAUAAUGUCUACCAUUCACAUUUUAACAUUCGACAUUAUCUUAUGUGUGACUUACAAUUAGUGUAACAAUUACCAGAAAUUGUUAGAGUCCCGGUGCUCGCCCAGCUACGUACAUGACAUGAUGAGCACGCUGUCAAAAAAUAACUCCGUUGAAAAGCUUGCGGAGAUUGAUGAGAUUGGUUUUGGAUUCUUGAGUCUUGUUCCAAAUUGGUCGGUAAAAUCAAGCCAUCAUGGUUCACCUAGCUGAGUCAUAUCAAGUUAAGCCGAGAACUUUUAUACUCGACAUUAGCAACAUCUGCCUCAAUGCCGAGUUAAUCGGGAAGGUUUUCGGCAUUUCAUCGCGAGGUAACUUCUGCUAUCUUAUUUACCUAGUCUUGCAUAGGCGUGCUGGUGUAAAUAUCUUUGCUUAUGCAUACAUAUUAACAUGGAAUAACACAUGAACAUGUUGUAGGGGAUCCAUUUCCAGCACUGGAUGACAGUAAUCCGUGUCACGUUGCCAUAAAAAAUCGGUUCCAUAGACGGACAACAACCGAGCUCUGGGAUUUAGUUUACAGUUGUCCAAUGGCCACAGAAUCAGAUAGGAUGGAGUUCAGAAGAUAUUUCAUAUUGGUGGUGAUGAAGAUGUUCCUGUGCCCCACCACUCAACAGGUACUUUCUCCAUGGCACAUCUACCCCAUGUAAGAUGUUUCUGAUCCACGGAGAUUCAACUAGCCGUUGAAAACUCUGAAGUGGUUCGACAAGGCAGUCGAGAAGUAUAAGCUGAAAGGGAACAAAACGUGUGAAGGCUGCAUGUUCAUCAUGCUGGUAGGACACUGUUCAUGCCCUGGGUCGAGCUGUACAAUCCGGGCUUAUUAAAGACAAGUCGACCGACCUCUUCAAGUAUGGAUUCCCCGACCUCUUCUUAAAGAGAUUGGCCAAAUCGUCAGAGGGGCCCAAACAGACCCAAAUGAAGGGACACAGCCCAAUCUAAAGGCAGUUAAAGCCUAGAAAGAUAAGGGCGGUUCCCCAGAAGAUAAGAUGACCUCACUUAAAAGAUAAGAUAAGAUAACUAUCUUUAUCUCCAGAAAGGUCACACCAUACUACUAUAAAUACACUGGAGCACCCAGGUAUAACUCAUACUCUGAUUCUACAAAAAAAUACCUGCUUAAAGCCCAUGCUAACUUAAGCAUCGGAGUCUCUUGCAGGUACCACCACCCUCCGGUGACGAAGGAUCAGCAGCAUCUCCAGCUCCACCAGUUCCACCAGGUCGGACACGAAAGCUCCGGCCACUAGUUCCAACAAGUCGGACACGACAGCUCCGGCCACCACAGCAGAUCUCGUCUGAGAUCAACCUACAGUUUCAGGUAACCCUCGGAACAUUGGUGCCGUUGCUGGAGAACCUGGCAGUCAUCCCAUCACCAUGGCAGACAACAUAGACAACGAUCACAACUGAUUUAGAAAAUAGGACGCCGCAUAAGAAUGCAGACACCACACCGAAAGACACUUCUCAACCAAACGGAGAUAAGCACCCUCCAAACACAAAAAUUCUAGAAGCUCUCCGAGAACAGCAGAAUCAUCUCAAGCAGCUCGAACAGGAGGCUGAAUACCAGCACGAAACCAAAAGAAACCUCUGAAGAGAAACUUGACGACGCCGAAAGUUAAAGGACAAACUGCUAAAGCUUGAAGCCGACCUUAGAGCCAAAGCCAUUCAGCCUAAUCACGGGGACAGCCCCGACAAGGAUCAAGAUUCCUUCACAAAAGAAAUCAUGAAAGCUAAGGUUCCAAAAGAUUUUAAAGCUCCGACAUGACCCCUUACGACGGAACUUCUGACCCAAGUCAUCAUCACAGCAAUUUCAGAAGCAGAAAGUAUCUCACUGACGCCUCAGACGAUAUUCGUUGCAAAGCCUUCCCGACAACCCUAACAAAGAUUGCUAUUAAGUGGCUCGACAGUCUGCCUCCCAGAUCUAUCACCAGUUUUGAUGACUUAGCCAAGAAGUUUCUUGCUAGAUUUUCCAUUCAAAAGGACAAAGCCAAACACGUCCCAAGCCUAUUAGGAAUCAAACAAGGAGAUCGGGAGAGUCUUCGAUCUUACAUGGAAAGAUUCAACAAAGCGUGCCUGGACAUACAAAGCCUACCAACAGAAGCAUCCAUCAUGGGUCUUAUCAAUGGCCUACGAGAAGGACCCUUUAGUCACUCUAUAUCAAAGACACACCCAACAUCUUUAAAUGAAGUGCAAGAACGGGCAGAGAAGUAUAUCAACAUGGAAGAAAAUUCUCAGUUAGGAGAGACCACAAAAUUUGGAUUCUCCUACUCCUCCCGGGAUAAGGAUAAAGAGUCCAAGAAAAAAGAAGAUCAACACAGAGAGAAGCCUAAAAAAUACCACAAUUACACCCCUCUUCGGGUGUCUCUUGUGGAUGUUUUUCGAGAAGUAUGCCACACUGAGAAGAUUCAACCACCUCGUCCAAUCAAAAGCAAAAAAAAAGAGGGGGAAAUCAGACAAAAUACUGUGAGUACCACCGAAUCUAUGGACAUCUUACAAAUGAGUGCUUCAACUUGAAGAAUGUCAUAGAAAAAUUGGUAAGAGAGGGGCGACUAGAUCGAUACUUAGCUAACAAAACAGAUGAACCCAGAAAAAGAAGAAGGGACGAAGAGGUCGGACGAGCUGAACUACCACCCCGCACCCCGGAGAGGCACGUUCACAUGAUAAAUGGAAGAUUCGCAGGAGGAGGGAUCUCUAAAUCAUCUCGCAAAAGGCACUUUAAAGAAGUAUAUCACGUUGGAGGAGGAGAAGGAUGAUCCCAUGGUCAUUACUAUCAUAUUGGCCAAUGCCAACCUCCACCGCACACUGGUGGACCAAAGAAGGUCAGCUAAUAUCUUGUUUAAAUCUGCCUUCGACAAACUCGGCCUACAAGAAAAAGAGCUCAGAGCAUACCCGAACAGCUUGUUUGGAUUAGGAGACACUCCAAUCCAACCCCUUGGAUAUAUCUCACUACACACAAUCUUUGGAAAGGGAACCCGAUCAAGGACACUCAACAUAGACUACAUCGUAGUCGACGUGAGCUCAGCCUACAAUGCCCUUAUAGGUCGAACAACGCUAAAUCAGCUUGCCGCAGUAGUUUUGACUCCACAUCUAUGCAUGAAGUUUCCAACCCUAGAAGGGAUCGCCACGAUAAAAGGAGACCAGAAAAUUGCGCGACGUUGUUACAACGAAAGUCUAAACCUUAGAGGCAAGGGAGAAGAAAUCAACAGUAUCGAACUCGGAGGAGUUCGAGGUCAGGAAGAACUUCGUCCACAACCUGAGGGCGAGAUCAAGGAAGUCCAGAUCGGAGAUAUCCUAGAUAAAACAACAAAUAUUGGGGCCACUUUGGAAGGAGACAUAAAGGAGUCUCUGAUACAGUUCCUCAGAGAUAAUGCCGACCUCUUUGCAUGGAAGGCCGCGGACAUGCCAGGCAUAGAUCUCAAACUAAUGUACCACAAACUGGCAGUAUAUCCAGGAUCUCGGCCAGUACAACAGAAGCGUCAGAAGCUCGGACCAGAAAGAUCCCAAGCUGUGAAAGAUCAGGUACAAGCUCUACUGGAGGCAGGAUUCAUAAGAGAAGUCAAGUACCCACUAUGGCUAGCCAACGUUGUAUUGGUGAAAAAGUCAAAUGGGAAAUGGCGGAUGUGCACUGAUUACACCGACCUCAAUAAAGCCUGUCCAAAAGAUCCCUAUCCACUCCCAAGCAUAGACACUCUAGUGGAUGCCUCCUCCGGAUAUAAGUACCUUUCCUUCAUGGAUGCUUAUUCGGGAUAUAAUCAAAUCCCAAUGUACCCACCUGAUCAAGAAAAGACCUCAUUCCUAACCCCAAAAGCAAAUUACUGUUAUGUCGUCAUGCCAUUCGGACUCAAAAACGCAGGAGCUACAUACCAAAGAUUAAUGAAUAAGGUUUUCACAGACCAUAUCGGGAAACUCAUGGAGGUAUAUGUGGAUGACAUGUUGGUAAAAGUAUAAACUGAGGAAUCAUUACUGUCCGACCUCGCCAAAGUGUUCGACACCAUCAGAAAGCAUGGCAUGCGACUUAAUCCCGCAAAGUGUACCUUUGCAGUAGAAGCCGGUAAAUUCCUGGGUUUCAUGCUAACACAACGAGGACUUGAGGCGAACCCGGAUAAAUGCCGAGCUAUACUCAACAUGAAAAGUCCGACCUACGUCAAAGAAGUACAACAACUCAACGGAAGACUGGCAUCCUUAUCCAGAUUUCUAGCCGGAUCGACCAUAAGAUCUCUCCCCUUUUACGCCACUCUAAGGAAGGGAAAGAAGUUCGAAUGGACAACGGAGUGCGACCAAGCCGGAAAGAGGUUUGAAUGGACCACAGAGUGCGAGCAAGCCUUCCAGGAUUUCAAAAAGUUUCUGAGACAACCACCCAUUCUUACUCGGCCACGGGAAGGAGAAGCACUCAUAUUAUACCUCGCAGUGGGAAGUCGGGCAAUAGCCUCGGCACUAGUCAGAGAAGAUGAAAGUGGGCAACAACCCAUCUACUUCAUCAGCAAAGCCCUACAAGGGGCCAAAUUGAACAAUCAAAAGAUAGAAAAGUUCGUCUACGCUCUCAUACUAACUUCUCGAUGACUUUGUCCAUAUUUUGAAGCUCACACCAUUAGGGUUCAAACCAACCAGCCCAUAAAAGGCAUUCUACAGAAAACAGACUUAGCGGGAAGGAUUCUACGAUGGGCAGUCAAGCUAUCUGAGUUCGAUCUUCAAUAUGAAGCUCGGACGGCCGUCAAGUCACAGUUUUUGGCCGAUUUUAUUGGUGAGUAUACUGACACCCCGGGAACUCCUACAAAAUGGGAUCUCUAUGUAGACGGCUCUUCAAACAAAACUGGGAGUGGUGCAGGUGUGAUAAUAGAAAGUGACCAGGGAACCCAAAUUGAACUCUCCCUAAAAUUCGAGUUCCCUGCUUCAAAAAACCAGGCUGAAUACGAGGCAUUACUAGCUGGUUUGAGACUGGCUAAGGAAGUUGGAGUUCAAAAGCUUAUCAUCUUCAGCGAUUCGCAAGUAGUCAUUUCACAAAUAGCAGGGAGCUACCAAGCUAAGGAUCCUACCAUGAAAAAGUACCUGGAUAAAACUAGGGAACAACUCAAACAACUCGGGGAAUAUGAGGUCUGCCAUAUUCCCGGGGAACAGAACGCUCGAGCUGAUGCACUCUCAAAAUUAGCCAUCACCAAACAAGGGGCAAUAAUAGAAGCCUCAUCCAGGAAAUACUGAAAAGCCCAUCAAUCUCGGAGGAAGAAAAGGUCCUAGCCAUAUCAGAUCAGGAUCAAGGAUGGAUGACCCCCAUAAUCAAUUACCUCAAAUCAGAGACACUCCCUACAGAUAAGAAGGAAGCGAAGAGGUUGAGACGGGAAGCACAAUACUACACCAUCAUAAAUAACACCCUAUACAAAAUGGGGAUUUCGACACCCCUAUUAAGAUGUGUGCCGACCUCUAAUACAAAGGAGGUUUUGGAAGAAAUACAUAACGACAUAUGUGGCAAUCAUCUGGGGGCACGAGCUCUCUCCAAAAAGGUACUCCGGGCAGGAUUCUUUUGGCCGACUCUGCAAAAAGAAGCAAUCGAGUUCAUUAAGACAUGCCCACCAUGUCAAAAGCAUGCUAACUUCCACAUCGCCCCACCAGGGGAGCUCAUCAGCGUAACAUCACCUUGGCCAUUCACAAAAUGGGGACUCGACCUCCUCGGAACCUUUCUCCAAGGAUCGGGACAAGUCAAGUUCCUCAUUGUAGGAGUAGAUUACUUCACAAAAUGGAUUGAGGCAGAGCCCCUAGCUAAUGUCACUACUCAAAGAAGUCAGAAAUUCUUAUACAGGAACAUUGUUACAAGGUUUGGGGUUCCUUACUCCAUCACUACAGACAAUGGAACUCAAUUCACAGACAUAGGCUUCAGGAAGUUGGUAGCAGACUUAAAAAUAAAGCACCAAUUCACAUCCGUAGAACAUCCACAAGCUAAUGGACAAGCAGAAGCAGCUAACAAAGUCAUAUUGGCUGGGUUAAAACGGAGAUUAUAUGACACAAAGGGAGCCUGGGAUGAAGAGCUCCCACAACUCCUACGGGCAUAUCGGACAACUCCACACUCCACCACAAAGGAAUCACCCUUCCGAUUGGCUUACGGAAUGGAGGCAAUGAUCCCGGUAGAAAUUGAAGAAGGAUCCCCCAGAAUGAUCUACUACAAUGAAGAGGCCAACUCCCAAAAUCAAAGGAAAGAGCUUGACCUACGUCCAGAAAUCCGAGAAAGAGCUCGGAUUAGGGAAGAGGCGUUGAAACGUCGAAUGGCCUCAAGAUACAAUCGAAGAGUCAUCCAGCAAAGUUUCGCCCACAACGAUCUCAUUUUAAGCCGAAAUGACAUCGGAACAGGUCAACCAGGAGAAGGAAAGCUUGCAGCUAAUUGGAAAGGACCCUACCGAGUUACCGAGGUACUGGGAAAAGGCUACUAUAAGGUUUCCAAACUCGAAGGGCGAGAGCUACCAAGGUCGUGGCAUGCCUGCAACCUAAGAAGGUAUUAUAGUUAGGAGGUAAUAAAGAUCUUAGGUCAAGGUGCACUCUUUUUCCUGAAAAGGUUUUUUAACGAGGCACCAAGCCAAGAUCUGUAAAAUUGCCUGACUUAGAGGGGGUAAACACCCACAUGUAUAUAUUCUUGCCUAUAUGCCUAUUUUUUAUUUGAAUAAAAUUUUCCAGAUUUUCUACAAAGUUUCUCUACCAAGACGCAUUAAUCCGAAGGCAAAAAAUUCAUCGCCCGAUUACAAAGCUACAGGUCAGCAAGGUGAAAACCAAAUUCACCAGCCGAUCACGAUGAGAAUCGAAUUCAUCGUCCGAUUUCGACAAAGGUCAGCAAGGUGAAAACCAAAUUCACUGCUAGACUUCGACAAAGUUGGCCAAGUGAGAACCAAACUCACCGCCCGAUUUCUACAAAAUCGGCAAGAAAAAAGCGAUAAAGACGGAUUAAUGCAAGAAGUUAUAGAAAGUAAUCCAUAGAAAGAGGCCUGACGAGGUCUGAGUAAAAAUGGAUUGCUAAAAAUAACUUAGGACGAACCGACAUAAAGAAGUUGGACCAAUCGACCAAAGUGACUAAAGUUAUAAAAAGUAAUCCAUAGAAAGAGGCCUGACGAGGUCUGAGAAAAAAUAGAUUGCUAAAAAUAACUCAAGAAGGACCGACAAGAAGAAGUCGGACCGGACCGAUCAAAGCGAUAAAAGUUAUAAAAAGUAAUCCAUAGAAAGAGACCUGACGAGGUUUGAGUAAAAAUGGAUUACUGAAAAUAACUAAGGGCGGACCGGCGUGAAGAAGUCAGACCAACCAAACAAAGCUACAAAGUUAUAAAAAGUAAUCCAUAGAAAGAGACCUGGUAAGGUCUGAUUAAAAAUGGGUUACUAAAAAUAACUCGAGAAAGAUCGAUAAGAAGAAGUCGGACCAACAAGAGGCGUGCGCUAGAAGGGACACAACUCAUCCCAAAAAGCCACGACCUCACGAUAAAGCUACCAAAAUUAUUUUAAAAGGUGUUCUAUGAGAAUACUAAAAAAGUCAUUAGACAAGUCAUCAGAUCGACAAGAAAGAGGUCGGAUAGCCGAAUCUCGACACCUUACAGAAGAUCUACAAAAAUCCCAAAAACACAGCCAGCACGUCAAAGAAAACAAGGCUAUUCUAAAAGCAUUAAAAUCUCAAAAGGCCACCUGAAGGUCGACCUCAAGAGUUCAAAGAUAUCUUUUGUUUUUCCAAAAUAAAGUUGCUAAGAAAAGCAACCAAAAUGUCAGAAAAAGAAAGAACACCAUGCAAAGGUACAAAAAAUAAAAGAGUUCAAAAGCCCACAAACCGGGCUAAACAAAUACAUAAAAAGUCACAAGGGAUCCAAGGUCUCCUCAGCGGCGGCACCCUGGGUCGUUGAGGGAGGAAUGAUCUUCAUAGGAAUAGCAUCUACCGUCCCAUCCUCCCGAUUUAAGAUUUGGACGUCAGGGUCGGACUCGGGGUGGCUGACCUCAGCAGCAGCAGUUGAAGAAGUCGUGGCAGUAGAAGCUUUGAUCGGCGGCUCUGGGGAAGGACCUUCCUCUUCAUCUUCAUCCGGCGCAGGGACAAUCUUACCAUUUUUAACAGUGUUAUCCAAACCAAAAAGACUCAGGUCGAGCUCGGGAGCAAGAACUCGGACCUGAGCUUUUAGGUUCUCAUAUGUGUCAGUCACACUGCCCACAAGGUGGCCCUGAAGUUCAACAUAGUUAGCAUGGGCCGACACAAGUCUCUCCCUGACCUCCAUCAGCUCGUCAUAAGUGCGGGUAUAACUCUCCUUUGACUUCUUGGCCAUCUCCUUAUCUAGAUUCGCAGCAGCUUCUGCAGUAAUCGCCCUAGAUUUCUCCUUCUCAACAUCUAGUUCCAGCUUGGCCACCUUAGCGUCCAGUUCAUCCUUCAAAUCCUUAAUCCUAUCAAACUCGGACUUGGCAUCCUUCAUAAAGGCUUUAGUAGCAUGAACAGAAGACUCUUGAACAGUACGGAAUAAGGCUGCACCCAUGUGAGCCAUCCGAACACUGUUACUGGUGAUAAAAUCCAGAUGGCGCAGGAUAGACACAUCGUCCAUGGGAAGUCGGCCAUAAGGAGCGAUCUGGUUAUCAACAAACCCCACGGCAUCAAAGUCAGGGGCAUCCAGGUCGUAGGGCUCAAUAGUCUUCUGCUUCUUGGGAGGAGGACCGGCAGCAGAAGGAGAAGCAGCACCAGAGGUCGACUGGGGAGGAUCAGAAGAAGCCAGGCGAACCUGGGGAGUCGGUAUGACUUUUCUCGACCCAGAAGUAUCCGAGGUUGACCUCUUCUGAGUAGCCUUUGAAGAUUCCUCCCUAAAACCUUUAGCCGAGAUGUUUUGAGCCGCGGUCGCCUUCCUCGCCCUCUUAAAAGCCUUCAUGGAAUCAGUGGUCUUCACCAUCUCUAAAAAAAUAAAGCAGCAAAACCAAAGUUGCAAGUUAGAAAGAGAUGGAUUGACAAAACAAACAAAAUAACAAAGACAAGGCUAAAAAGAAAUCGGCAGCUACCCAAUUCAGCUCGAAGAAGGGAGGGAUCCCCCAAAAACAUCUUCGUAUCAAGAUAGGGAGGCUCCCCCCAAUUUUCUUCUAGUACAUGUACAAAAGCCUGCUCAACUUCAUCCAACAUUUCCCAAAAAUACUUAGACACCAUCACAUUCUUUUGCCAGCAUAAAGGAAAAGCUGGUUCAUUAUUUUGGUCCAAGAAGAAAGACCGACCUCCUUCAACAGCUCGAACCUUGAAAUAGAAGUUUUUAAAGUCCCUAAAAGACUCAUCAUACAUGGAUAACAAGUUUUUUCCCUGGGUAGCGCGGAAAGAAAUCCAGAAAGCCUUCUUCUUAGCUACCCCAGGCUUCAUCAAGACAAAAAGGUAAAGAAAGAGAGUAUGAGAAGGUUGAACAUCCAGUUCUUGACACAACAGUUAGAAGAUUUUUAUGAAGCCCCACGAAUUCGGGUGAAGCUGAGAAGGAGCUACAUUGCAGGACCACAACAAGUCAGUUUCAAAGGAAGUAAAAGGAAUGGUAAUGUUCAUUUGACUAAAAAAGUAGUCAUACGCAUAAAAGAAUGGACGGUCCCCUUGAGUAAGAGAAGGAAAACAAACCCUCUCAUCAGGAUCGGGCACUACCAACUCAUAGUUUUUCUCCUGCUCUCUACUACUACAAAUCCUAUGAUGCCUCCUAAGCCGCACACAAUACUCAGAAUCAACCACGGAAACACACAUCAAAACAAGGGAGUCCAGCCAGUCAGACAUGCCAUCCGGGACCUUGGUAGACAUCUCAACAAUAUUUUUGCAAGAAGACAUGGGUCAACUAGUCCUACAGUGAGAAAAGGGAAAACUGGGUUACUAAUCAAACAGCUCGGACAAAAUAGGAAACAUCUCGGACAAAUAUGGAGAUAACUCGAACAAAUAGCAUGCGAAUGUUAAAAGACUCAGAAACAGCAAAAGGAAACCCCAGGACUCACACCAAAGUCCAGGGGCAUCCUUUGGAGGCAAUAACAAAGCAAGGAUCCAGAAAAAAGAAAAAUCUCGCAGUUUAAGCCCUAAAAACACAAAGAAGAUCAAAAGCCUUCUCUGACAAAUGGCGAUCCAUACAAAACAGCAAACCAUCAACAUCAGACAGACCAGGCAGAAAUCAUAAAAAAGAUACAACCUUUUUCAAAUUAACAGUUCAUUACUUCAAGCUAUAAACAGGAAAAGAUCUACGCAUAAAGAAAUCAAGUAAAAGGGGCAGAAACAAGCAACAAAGCGAAAAAACCCUCAAGGCGCGCACUACAAGCACAACGACACAGAAAAGAUUCAAACUUUCUAAACACAAAUCCGAGCAAGAUCAAAACUUUUUCAUGCCCAAACAAAGCACAAGCAUAAAAAGAACGGUGUGAAAAAUAAAAGAGGGAAAGAAGAUUAAAAACCAACCUGCAGUGGAGAGGAGAUGAUAAAUGAUCAGAGACUGAAGCAACGACCAAAAUGACGCCAACGAUCGCCUUUGCAAGUGAGGAAAAUACGAAGGCCCAGAAACAGAAGGGUAAGGAGAAGGGAGAAGUUACAGUAAAGCGAAGAGAAGAAAAACUGAGGGAAAAGGCUUUGAAAUUCAAAAUAAAGACACAAAGAGGGAAGCAAAGGAAACAGCAAAGAAUUUACGAGUUUUUGACCUUUGCACGUUUCCAAGAAAAAGUAAAAAUGCGUGCCGUAAUUAAAAGAGGAAACGUUCCGCAUUCAAACCACUAAAUAGGAGUGCUACAACGAGAUCAACAAAAGAAUGCUCGAGAUCGGCUUUUCCAAAAAGAAAUCGAAGUCUAAAAAGACACGACUUCAAAAGGAAGACCGCACUCAAGCAGGGGCACUGUUUAUGCCCUGUGUCGAGCUGUACGACCUGAGCUGAUUAAAGACAAGUCGACCGAUCUCUUCAGGUCUGGAUUCCCCGACCUCUUCUUAAAGAGAUGGGCCAAAUCGCCAGAGGGGCCCAAACAGGCCCAAAUGAAGGGACACAGCCCAAUCUAAAGCCAGUUAAAGCCUAGAAAGAUAAGGGCGGUUCCCCAGAAGAUAAGAUGACCUCACUUAAAAGAUAAGAUAAGAUAACUAUCUUAUCUCCAGAAAGGUCACUCCACACUACUAUAAAUGCACUGGAGCACCCAGAUAUAACUCAUACUCUGAUUCUACAAAAAAAUACCUGCUUAAAGCCCAUGCUAACUUAAGCAUCAGAGUCUCUUGCAGGUACCACCACCCUCCGGUGACGAAGGAUCAGCAGCAUCUCCAGCUCCACCAGUUUCACCAGGUCGGACACGACAGCUCCGGCCACCAGUUCCAACAAGUCGGACACGACAACUCCGGCCACCACAGCAGAUCUCGUCCGAGAUUGACCUACAGUUUCAGGUAACCCUCGGAACAGACACAAUGACCAUUAAUAAAUUUUGUUUGCCUUUUUUUAUGAAGAUCAUAACUUGUAUAAAAUUAAUUUCCUAUACAUUAGUUUGGAGAUUUCAGACUCUAGUACUGUUACUUGUAUGUGAUAUACUGAUAUGUUGCUGAAUUACUUGAAUCUUUGUUCACUAAUUUUAGAUGGUCCAAUAUAUGAUUUCAUCUGAAUGUUUCCUAUUACUAGUUCUGUGUCCCUUGCGAGCCUUAUACAAUCUUGAACCAUAUCUGAUGCUAACUGUUCAACUUAAGAAUAUAUUCAACGUGGUUUUCCGUCAUGUAUAACUUAAAUUGUGCCCAUCCUCUAUGUAGAUACUCUAUUUUUAGCGGUUGCAAUACGGUGUGCUCGACAACUGUCUUGAGCAUGAGACACGGCUCGAUGGGUGGACCUCAGAGAGACUUGAAAAGAAGGCACAAUAUAUUCUAUCCGAGGCACUCAUUUCUCUCUUGUAAUCGGUUAAUUUAUGCUGUUAUGUAAGUCAGAGCUUCCUAUCAGACCACUCAAGAUGUUUUUUAUGUUUACUUUUUUUUGUCAGUUGUGCUAGGCAGAUGUCGCAGAUCCCGUGUGUUUGAGAUUUUAUUUUUUUUAUUUUUCUAUUUCUGGUUUGUGGUUUGGUGGUGCUUUGAGGUUUGAUUAAGAUCAUUGAUUCUCUUCGUUUCUUAAUUCAGGGGCGCCUUUUGACUAGACAUGGGGGAGGUGAAGACAUAAAGGGCCGGUCACCACAAGCUACGAGGAGGAAACCGGGGAAAAAAGAACCACAGAAUCGUGGGAAAAAGGAUUCGGUGCCGCCAAGGGUAAACACGUUUUAAGACUUCAGCGUGUUAGCAAGCUUACUUCACCAUUGUUAAUUUGGUUCAUGCUAUUGCUUCAAAUAGGGGAGGUCAGUCGGUGGAGAGAGUAAGCAGGUAUCAAAGGAAAGACGACCAAGGGGACGCACAACAUCUCCACCUCCAACAAGGAGAACUUCACGGCACGCCGAACAAUAAAAAACUAGCCCAAGAGUGAGUAUACGAUUACUGUUGUCUACGGUUUAAAUCAUCGACUAGCUUUGCUUAAGUUUAUUAGGUUCAUUUGAAUGUACUUGGAUGUUUCUUUACACAACAUGUUCGUUAUACGUAAAACAGCCUAGCAGAGGAGUUGUGCAAAAAAAGGAGGAGGCUAAAAAGGACCGAUCACGUAGGUCCACCCCAAAAAAAUCUUGAGAAAAAGGAUCUCCCAAUUAGCACAGAUGAUGAUGAGGAGAAUGAGCCUCUUGCCAAGCGGAUGUGCCGACUCUAUAACCAGGGAGUUGACCAACAAAAACCAAGUGCCGAACCAAUAGAAGGCAACCUUAAUCAGGAUAAGGGAACCCAUGAAACACCUGUCUCUAUAGUUCCCGAUGUAGGAACACUCUCCGUUGUGCUAGUGCAACAUGAAGAAUGGGAGUUCGACGGGCAAGUCUCCUAAUCAAAACUAUUUCAUUUUGUGGUCUAUUUUGCUUGUUAGUGAAUUAGGGAUUGUAUCCGUAUACAACUGCCAUUUCUCUAACAUCGGUUGAGUUUCUUGCAGUAAUCCCAAUUUUCUGUCGAACCGAGACCCCGAAAGUGAACGAAUAUGGCAAUACCUUGAGCAACUGCAGAACACGAGGCCACUACAGACCGUGAUGCCAACCACUCCGUCUUGCAUGACUCCUAGCCCACCAAGCAAGGAAAUCUCACCGUGCAAUACUCGGACGGAACAAAAGUAUACCCAAUGUACUCCUAUAAAGGUGCAUCCACUUCUAAAAGGGUGAAAGCUGGACGAGGAUGAUGAGGAGCAAUUGCGACGAUGGGCGGCCAAUGGAUCGUUGGAGCAAAGUCAGGUUGUGGCGUCCUAUGAAGGAAGACAGCAUCUAUCAUUGAUCCGAGAAGACAUCUGCUCACUGUUGCUCCGGCACUGGGUCACCAGCAAUGUAAGUAUAACAUACUAACACAUUGAUAGAAUGAAUAUGUUUCUUAAUAUAUAUCGUGGCUAAAACAGAUGACUCUAAUGCAAUUUAAAUUUUUUAUGCAGAUCGUUCAGUGGAUGCGUUCAACCUUUAAUGACUCAGAAUCGUUGCGGUUUAAGGAUGACUUUUAUUGUAUUUCUCUAGAAAUUUUGGUAUGCACGAAUUUGCGGAUUCUUAUCGAUAAUGAUUUGAGAUCUGAACCUAAAUAGUGCUUUUUUAAUAGAAAACUGUGUUGCAAAAGAGGAACUUGGAUUCCUUCAGGGAGAUUUCCACCGUUAGUUAUGUGGGGCUGGGUCCUCACUUCGGUGAUGAUUCUAGAUUUUUUGACAAGAUAGCAGCUUCCAUGUGAAAAUGGGUAAGUUAAUGCACUAGUUGAAAAAAACUGUAUGGUUCUUGUAAGGUCUCACAUCGGUUGGGGAAGGGAACGAAGCAUGCCUUAUAAGGGUGUGGAUACCUCUCCCUAGCAUGACGUGUUUUAACGAGUGAGUGUGGGGGGUUUUGGCUAUCAUCCCUAUCGUUAAAGGCAAAACCGUGAGGCCUUGUGUGCCAAAGCGGACAAUAUCGUACUAGCGGGUGGUCUAGGCUGUUACAAGAAAUGUUAAGAGAAGAGAGGGAGAAACGGAGAAGGAGAGGAAAGGGAGGAAGGAGCCGGGCCGGCGCUGCUGAGUUCGCCGCCGCCGUCGCGUUGCCGUGCCGUCAGAAAGCCAGAACCGCAAGAGAAAGAACUGCGAAGAGAGAGGGAGACCGCAUCAGCUCACCGCGAAGCCAGCGCCGUCGUCGUCCUUAUUGCGGGUCUACACCGUCGCGUCUUGCCACCGCCGCCACCACUAAGCUUGCCGUCGUCGCCAUUGAAGCCGAAGAGAGAGAGAGUGUGUUCGCGAAGAGAGGGAGAGCGCGCGCUCACGAAGGAGAAGAACGACGAAAAGGGAAGGAGAAGCAGAAGACGAUGAACCCAGGGGAGAAGGAGGAGGUCUGUUCUCGCACCGUCCUGCUCUGCACCCAGGUGAGCUCUUCAUCCCCCUGUAUCCUCUGCCCUCCUUUCCUCUCUCUUGCCCUUUCUUGCCGACAUUGAUCCAUUGUUGUCUUGUGUGUUGCAGAUCUCACUUCGCGUAGUCAUGGUCUUCCCCGCAGUCACAGUCGCAAUCGCCGUCUACGCAGUUUGUAGCUGCCAUCAUCCUCCGCGCAGUUCCCACCUGCUCACGGUACCAUAUCCUUGACUCUGUUUUCUGUUCCCAGAAUCUUAGAUAUAGCAUAAACUUGUUAUCUUGUGCAUUUUGUUGUUUUUAUGGAAUAUGCACGAAACUUUAUAUAUUAUUGGUUGUUAUUAAUAUUGUUUCAAAUUAAAGAGUUGUUUCUGCUCACCUCUAUCUAUAUAUGGCAAUUAUAUGACAAUUUGUUUGACCUUGGAAUUCUAGUAAACAUGAGAGAUUUGAAGAGGAAUUGUUAUGGUUUUGGUUGACAAUAAUGAUGUGAGCACUACAUAAGCUUGCUAAUUAUUAUGCUUGUAAUAUCGUACUGCUGUUUAUUGGCUUGUUUAUUGUGCACAUACCUGCUGUUUUAUAUUCUCCUAUAUCAACUGGGUUGUUGAAAUGGUAUUGCACUUUUUUAGUUAUGCUAAUAUUUCUAUUAUCUGCCCAUGGUAGCAAAUCUUUCAAGUAAAAUGGUAAUGAAUACUUUUCUCCUUCCUCUCAGGAAGCAAUCUUCAGAGUUAUAGCUGCUAUUCCUCAUCUUGGAAACAUUAACUUUGCAAAAUCAGAGGAAGAAACUGAUUCAUCAGUUCUAGAAAAUGAAGAGUCCAAGUUGCAUCUCCAAAUAACCGCAGAACUUCUCAUGUGUGACAAAAUUUCUAUUGUUAUCAUUUGCAAUAGCUUUCUUUUUGUUAAUGUUACAUAUCUUUUAAAUUAUUUCUUAUUUCAGGUGCGAUCCUAGUGCUUUGGAAGAUGCACUUUGUAAGCGUGUGAUGAUUACCCCAGAGGAAGUUAUUAAAAGAAGUCUUGAUCCUCUUGGUGCAACGGUUAGCAGGGAUGGUUUAGCCAAAACACUAUAUUCUUGUUUAUUUGACUGGUACUAUGUUAAUGUCAAGUGUAAAAUUAUGAAUUUAAAAUAUGAAAAAUGUGUCCUAUCCUAUGUUUAUUGCACUUAUGUUAUUUGAAUCUGAAUAAUUUUUUAUCUGUUCUAUUGUUAUGUGCAGGUUAGUCCAAAAAAUCAAUGUCUCAAUUGGGCAAGACCCAGAGUCAAAAUGUCUCAUUGGUGUUCUUGACAUAUAUGGCUUUGAAAGCUUUAAGAAUAACAGGUGAACAUAAUCAUAUUAUUCACUCAAACACAUGCGUGUGCACGCACACACACACACAUAUCAUUGUUCCUCUUGAGAGUAGCAUAAAUCUGAGUUGAUAUCUAAUUCCCUCUUUACAGUUUUGAGCAGUUUUGUAUUAAUUUCACAAAUGAAAAGCUGUAGCAACAUUUCAACCAGGUAUGAGGUUAGUUUUUAGAUAUUUGACAACUUCAACUAUCACUUUUUCUCAUAACAUGCAUUCCAACAUGGAUAAUGUCCUGCAGCAUGUGUUUAAGAUGGCGUAAACUCUUCCGAACUUCCGGCUUCGAUUUCUUGAAAUCCGUAACUCCAAUAAAAAAUCUAAUCCGGUAAGAGUAUUCGUAACCUCCUCCUCUACACGUUGGUACCAUUUUUGAUUAGGGGAAGUUGAUAGUGACGUAGCUCCUCUUUCCUUUGGGUUUGGUCAACGGGAGUUUUAGGAGGCACAGACGAUUCUGGACAUUUUCUUUUUCGAUAGCUCACUCAGAAAGCUUCUCCUGAGCUUUGAAUAUUUUGAUUUCGUACGAAGGUAUGGUUUUGGUUUCUCGUAGUUAAUGUUUAAUGUCACGUGAAAAAUUUAGGCUAGAAGACCUUAAGAUAGGAAUGAAUUGAAUGUAUAAUUGAUGGAUUGUGCAUAUUGGAUAAAAUGUGUGGUUUAGCUGUUGAUAAUAAUUUGCUGUUGAAGUUGGUCGGUUUGGAAAAGAUUUAAUAUUGGUAUUUGUUUGAUUUUGAAAUAAUUUGUUACUGGAAAUGAUUUGAAGGACUGAGAGGUGUUUGAUUUGAUAGUUGGGACCCUUGAAGGGUGGCAGAAAUUCGAGCUUUAGAAGAGUUACUGCCAAAACUUCUAUGAGAAUUGGAGUUUUGAUUUGAGAUGGUAUUUUAAGAAGAAAGAGAUUAUUAUGUGGCUUGUGUAUUUGAGACUAUUUGUUGACCCUCUGUCGCAAGAUGUGACCGGGCACUUUAACUCCCUGGAUUUUCCCAUGGGCAUGCAUAUAUAUGAAUAUUGAAUAUUAUAUUUGAGCUUGGAGUUCGACUCCAUGGAAUAUUAUAUUUGAGCUUGGAGUUUAACUCCAUGGAAUAUUAUUGAGCUUGGGGAUGCGCGCACAGAGGGACUGUCCAAUGGUUAACUACCAGGACAUAUUGGCUUGGCUGUAUAACUGACAGAUGAGACUCAUCAGCCAUAGGACAGGCAUACAUCAUAUGCAUUUGUUUGUUUGCUUGAGUCUGCAUUGUUUUGGUUUGCUUAACUGUUUAAUUCUGCUUAUCCGCUACUUGUUCUACUUGCUGUAAAUACUUCUCUAUCUGUGCUUUCCUUGCUUGAAUUGUAUGUGUAUGUUUUCUGAGAAAUCCCUCUUGAUGAAGGUGUGAGGGGAGAGGGUUGUUCCACCAGUGAUUCAGAGGAUUGGAGGCGACAGAAAAUGAAGUAUUAAGUUAAAUUUAGAUUCAGAACUUGAUCUUUACUAUAGGAAUAUAUAUAAUUCACUCUUGAAUGUAAUUAAAAUAAAUAUAUAUUUAUUUAAUUUUUUAAAUUUUAUAUUAAUUAUUAAAAUCAUGAUACAAUGGAUGUAUUCCUAUUAAAAAAAAAUAAAAAUGACUUCAUAACUAUUUGUUUGUUGGAAGAAAAUAUGACUCAACAACUAUAGAGUCUAAUUUAAAUAAUUAUAGAUAGGUAACAUAAGUAAUAAAAAGCAGACAUAAAAUAUAACCUUUUUGUUAUUUAGUACAAAAUAAAUACAAUAAAAUAAAUCAUUUUUCUCAUACAUAAUGAGAUAAAAUUUAAUAUUAUCCUUUUCUAGAGUCUUCUAUUAUUUUAGUUUUUAUCCUUAUUUUUUACUUUAUUUCAAUUUUAUUAAACCAAAAAAUACUAAUGUCAUUUAACUUUAAUUUUCAACUUUUAUCAUAAAUAAAAAUAUGUGACUUUGUAUGCAUUAGAUAAUAAAAAAAAACUCAUAAUAAAAAAAAAUUAAAUUUACUCAUUUAUUACAUUUAUAGGAGCGUAGAUGAUUCGCAUAAGAGUUACGAGAUUUUUGUUAAGCUUUUAUUUUUAAAGUAGUAUUCACUUCUAAGUGUAAUAAUUAUAAAUUAAUAUAUGUUGGUAAAUAAUUGCGAUCGAAGUGAAGAUAGAAAGAGAAUAAAAAACGGAGGAAGGAAGAGAGAACAAGCUAAUAUAAGAGUGGUAGUGAGGCAUAUGUAGAUAGAUAAUAAUAAGAAAAAAGAAUAAUACAACUUAAUGAUUUUAGUAUUAUACCUAAAUUAAUUUAAAUUUAAUUAUUUUAUAUAUUAAAAAAAUUAAUUAAUUUAUAGAUUUUUUAUUUUUUAUUUAAUUAUUCUAUACAAAAUUUUUGAAUGCUUGAUAUCUUAAUUUUUUUUUAAAUGAUAAAAUAUGACUUAACAAGUAAGAAUGAAAAAUAAGUAUCUAUAUAAUAGUUAUAUAUUUAGAUAUCUAAAUCAAACAAAAAAUAAUUCUUUUAACAAAUCUUUAACAACUCAAAAAAUUAACACAAUGGAUAUGUAUGAAUCAAAGUGAUAAACAAAAAUGAGAUAUGGAAUAAUGAUAAUAUGAUAUGGUGGUAAUUGAUUGCGGUUGGGGUUAAUAGAAGAAGAACACAAAAAAAAGAGAAUAAAACAAGGCAAUAGAAUAAUGAUAGCGAGACAAUAAUAGUUAUACAUAUAAAAAAACUAAUAGUGUAUAAUAUGAUGAGAUGAUACAAUCAAAAUAAAAAUUAAUAAUUUUAAAAUAGUAAUAAAAUUAAAGAUGUUUAAUAUAAAAUUAAAGAAAUAAUUUUUUAUCUAUUAAAAUUAUAUAUUAAAAAAAGNNNNNNNNNNNNNNNNNNNNNNNNNNNNNNNNNNNNNNNNNNNNNNNNNNNNNNNNNNNNNNNNNNNNNNNNNNNNNNNNNNNNNNNNNNNNNNNNNNNNNNNNNNNNNNNNNNNNNNNNNNNNNNNAUUUUUUAUUUUUAAUUUAAAUUUAUUUAUUUUAUAUUUUCUACAUAUAUUAAAUAACUUAAAAUAUUUUAUUUUUUAUAAUUUAUUUUUUAAUUAUUGAUAUUAACUUUAUAAUUUUAAAAAUAAAAAUAUAAAAUAUUUUUUAAAUUCAAUAGAAAAGCGCCUAAACAUGCCUGUUGAGCAUAUAUAACUUAAGCAUGACACGUUUAUUUUUCAUUAAUGAUCAAAGACACCUAAAUCUUUAUGUGUAACUUUUCUCUCAAAGUCAUGAUUAUUAGUACCUCAACCUUGCAUGCUUCAUUUUGGCUAAGGUAAGAAAGAAAGAACCGAGAGAAAGAAGAGAGAAAUCGUGACCCACACCAAAAGUUUUGUCUUUUAUUUGUUGUGAUCCGUAAUUUCAAUAAAAAAUUUAAUUUGAUAAGAGUAUUUGUAUCUUUUUUUUUUUUAUAUGUUGGGAUUACUUUUGUUUGGUAGAAGUUGAUAAUGACGUAGCUUCUCUUCCACUUGAGUUCGACCAAUUGGAGUUCUAAGAAGUACAGAUUAUUUCUGACGUUUUUUUUUUCGGCAACUUGGUUGGAAAGCUUCUCCGGAGUUUCCAUUAUUUUGAUUUCGUACGGAGGUAGGAUUUGGUAAUUCUAUAAUAAUUAAAUGUGAAUUUGAUAAGUGAAUAUUGGUUUAAUUGAUUAUUAGUUGAGUUUGAUUAAGUUUAUAUUAAAAUUUUGUUGAAUUAUUGUUGUUGUUUGUGAAUUGUGGUUCAAUCACGAAGAACAGCCUAGUUAGGGUUAUUUUAAUGAUUUUGGGGCUGUUGUGAAUGAAAAUUGUUGAUUAAAAUUGUUGAGGUUUGAUAGCCAAGAGAUUAGAUGAAUAGCGGCAAAAAAUCAGUAAUAGUAAAAUUUAAAAACAGACUUAAAACUCAAGUUGAAAACUCGAAAAAUUUUGAAAAUGGGGUUCAGUCCUUUGAUAAAAGAUGAUUUCUGAUAUUAAAGCAAGGGAAAAAUAAGAAGAAAAUAAAAGAUUAAAAGAAUCUAAAGAACCUCUGCCACAGGAGAGUAGAGAGCAAGAAUAAAAGAAACGAAAGAAAGAACGAAACGAAGAGGAGAUAAGUGGAGAUAUUGUUUGGCAUUAAGAACGAGCUGAAAUGAUUGUUUACCUGCUAAAAAUGAGCAGAGAUAUGGUGGUGAGUCCACCGAAAUUUGCUUUCCAGAGAUACAUCGGCCAAUUCAGGGGAUGGUCGCAUCUGUAAGACGGAGGUUGCUUACAAAGUUUAUGUUUGCAUACAUCGGCUCAAGAGAGUCGCACCUGUAAGACAGAAGGUGCUUACAGAAGUUAUGACACUGGAAAUCAAACUCAGACAAAGGUUGCUGAGUUACGACGGGAGCGAGUCAAAACCGACAGAUGAGCUCAUUACCUGCACUAGGGAUAGACAUGCAUCAUACUUGUUUGCGCAUACUUCUCUGUGAUAUAUGUUUCUGUGAUUAUGUGUGUACGCUUCUUGGCUUGUGAUUCUCUCUGUAUCUUUGGUCUGUUAAAGUUGUUUGUAUUAUAAGUUUUGUUGCUGUUGGCUAUGGUAAUAAAAUGAAUAUAACUAUACACCUCGAUUCUAUUAAGAACUCCCCAGUUCUUACCCCAUAUCUCCACCCCUUUUCAGCUACAGGUGCGAAGGUUUAGUGCGAAACUACAGGAGCAUAGAAGAUUAUGAUCAUGAGUUGAGUUGUUAGAAUUUAUUUUCCCCUCGUCGUUUAUUGUUUUUAGUUUCUAGAAGGGUAGGACUUGUAUUUGGAGAUCUUUGAAUAAAUCUAUGUAUUUAAUACUAUGUGAGUAUAUAUAUACCUUGUGGUUAACUGGUUUAAAAUAAAGAAUCUUCGUUUUCAUAAGUAAAAGUUUGAUUUGUAUUCUCAAAGGCUCAAUAUUAAAUAAAGAUAGUAUAGAAUAAAAAGAUUUAGAGGUACGUGACGCCUGGGUUUUUAGUACGAUCAUGAGGUGCUAAAAGAUAGGGUGUUACAGUUACCAUUAUUAUAAUGAACUGUGAAUGUGACUUAAGAAACUCAUUUCUUUAUUCAUUCAAUCCCCUUGGCCAAAGUUUUAUUCAUCUCAGUCCUUAUAAUCAUAGAGCUCAAACUCUUUACCGAGAGUUGACAGAUUCCUUAUUAACUAAUCAUUAACUCUAAGUAUUUAAAUCAUACUUAAUAUCCAUUCAACUAGCACCCUAAUGUAUUAGGUGUCCGGAAUUAAAGUAUAAUAAAUACAUUGUCAAUUACUAUGAUAGUCGCAGGUCAAAGGAACUCUAUUACUAUAUUCAUUUUGAGAAUAUCCUAUUGACAAAUAUGCGGUAAUUAUAACCAUUAGAAAUUCUCAAAGUGAGUCAGUUCAAUGGACAUAUCUCUAUAUGCACCAUCUAUAUAUAUAAUUUAAUAAAUGAGAUCUAUUAAUUUUCAUCUAAUGAAGACCAUUAUAUAUAUAUUGAUCUUUUCGAAUUACUAUCAUAAUGAUAAAUUUUUAAAUUUAAUUAAAAAUCUUAUUAUAUUAAUAUUUUAAUAUAAUAACAAUAACAAAUUAUUUCACACAUGAUUAAUUAAAUUAUGGUUAUACUAUUUAUUCCCAACAUGUUUGCAUUGUGAUGAUGGCUAUAAGAGACAUUAUAUGGAACCUGAGUGGUAUGAUAGUUGAGAAGAAUGGCUUGUUAGUUCUGCGUUAGAUUUUAGUGUUGGUUUACGUGUUUGAGGAGAUGAAGGAGGGGUGCCCCAUAGGUUCCUAGCUACUCUCUAGGCGAGAAUGAAUGUCCCUCCAUAAGGGAAAAAAUUUCAAAGUUGUUUUCCUUUUUUUUUUUCAGUUCAACUUAGUAACAACAACCUUUUCCACGAUUUUUUGGGGGAUGGGUCUGCGCAAAAAGAUACAACAACAAGAAAGAAGACCCAAGAACAUGUAUAGGAAAAAUAUUGCACUUAAGGUUCUGGGCCUAUGGGCUUUGGCUGGGAGGCUGUCAUUAAACAGCUUGGGCGUAUAGGGCAAAGAAGUAGAAGUUGGACAACUUGGUAAGCCCAAUAAAGAAAAAGUACCAACUCUGCUUGAGCCACUUAUAAGAUAGAGCCCAAUAACUUGGUAUGAACCCUUUUUUAGUGUUGUGUAUAGAGUGGAUGAGUUGUUAUAUGACCAUAAAAAAACUAAAUAACUUCUUUUUGGUACAUAAUAUUUGGAUUAACUUUAAUAAAUUAAAGCCUCUAAUAACUUGAUAUAUACUACAUCAUCAUCAUCAUCAUCAUCAUCAUCAUCAUCAUCAUCAUCAUCAUCAUCAUCAUCAUCAUCAUCAUCAUCAUCAUCAUCAUCAUCAUCAUCAUCAUCAUCAUCAUCAUCAUACGAGAAAUGACUAAAUGUCUUUAUAUCGAAAAUUUUUUUUUAUAUGACAUAGAUGUUGAUAAAGAAUAUCUUUUCAUACAAAUUGUCCGCGUCAAAAUUCUUGAACAGAGAUAAAUUUGGGAAAACAAUGAAAAAAGGUCAAUAAGACAAUAACCGGAUAACAUGAAUUUUGGAGUAUAAUUUUUGAAUUUGGAACGUAUAGUUUUUGAAUUUCUAUUCAUUGUUAUUUUAGAUUCUUUCGCCCAGGUUAAUUACUUAUUAAUUUUUUUUUUAAAUUAAGUAUGAGACUUGAAUUCGAAAUNNNNNNNNNNNNNNNNNNNNNNNNNNNAAUGCAUGCAGAUGGAUUGAAUGGUCUUAAAUUGUAAAUAUUACAGUAUCACAAACGCAUAUCACUCAUACUAUAUAUUUAUUAGUUUUUGUCAAAUUUCAAACUUAAAUGUAACAUAUUAAAAGGCACUAAUUUUUCAGUUCAACUAAAAUUUCUACUGACAUUUAUCUUCAAAUUAAAAAGAUAAUCUAACAUCUAACUUUUAGUAUGUCAUGAUCGUACAAAAAAUACGGAGUUACUAAUCUGUUUUCCUUAUUUACUAUUUAAUAUUGAGCCUUUAGUUCAAUAUCGUGUUUCAGUUUUAUAGAAAAUCUCAGAAAAUUUUUGUUUUUGUUUUAAAAAAAAUCAUAAAUAAAAAAUCAUCAAGUAAUAAUAAUCACAUAAUUAUUGAUAAUAAUAUAUGUGAUACAAAAGAAUUCAAAUGAAACACAGAUACAAUUCUUAUCUCUCUGUAUAAAAUAAAAUCUUAAAUAACAAAGACGAGGGAAUUCUAUGAAAACAACUCAAUACAUAAACUUAACUUAAAUAAAAUUCAUAAUCGCUUGCAGCUUCAAACUGGGUCUCCGAACCUGUGUCACUGAAAGGGUGGAAGAUUUUGGGGUGAAAACAAACCACUAGUUCUCAGUAGGGAAUAGAAAUGCCGUAAAAGUAAUGAAAUAAAAUGCAAAUAACUAACUUUACUCAUUAAAACUAUUUUGGUAAACUUUUGAAGAUACUUUUUAUUUUUACUUUAUUAACUUAUUACCUUCUUUAAAUUUCCGAACUUAAACUAAUCUCAAUCACAAUCUCAAUUCCCAAUCACAGAGAAACAAUAGCAUAAGAAACAGAUCAACACACAAACAAAUUGCAAUAAGAUAAACAAGUCAAGCAGUACAAUCACAGAGAAAAUAUAACAAGCAAAACAAGACCAAAUACAAAUGUGCAAUCAAUAUGAUGCAUGUCUGUCCUAAGCAGGCCAUAAGCUCAUACGUCGGUUGUCUACCCGCAACCUGACAUUAUUCGGAGUGACCCCGAAUAUGGUCCCUUUACUGUGUCAAUUAGACACCUUGGCAUCACGGUUAUCCGUGUCAAUUAGGCCUCAUUAUAAUAACGUUUUAAUGUGUAUCACAGUAAGGAAUAGUGCUAUCAAUUAGGCGAACAUUCCCGCAUUAGCAACCCCAGGCUAUCCGUUAGGCGGGCCCUUUCGCAUUAGUAAUUUGGCACAAGACUCAUUCACAUUUCAUUUUCAUGAAUCAUAAUCUACUUCAGUUUUUUCAUUCAUGACUUUACAUUAUUCCUCCACAUCACCAAUUACAUACUCAUACUUCCGCAUCAUCACCACUUAACUAUACAGACCUCCGCAUCACCUUAUUAUUAUUCACACCUCCGCAUCACCACAUAUUCCUUCGCUUAUCAUACCUCAAAAUAUUAGUUUCUAGACAGCCAAACUUCUUUAAUGAUUAAUAAAAAUUUCUUUCCUUAAUAAAUCGGACUCAAGUUAUUAUUUAAACAAAAAACUUUUCUCAGUAGAAUAAGCUUAAAACAUAACUCUUUUCCUAAUAAAUUGAAAGCCAAAUAGAAUGAGUUUUAAAUCAAAUUCUCUUUUCAUUAACGCUUUAAGCAAAGCCUCGAAUUUUUAUAAAAAUUUUUGCAGCAUUUCCUCUAAAAUUUGGGUUUUGCCACCCUUCAAAGGUCCCAACAAAUCAUUUUCGAUUCUCAAAUAUCAUUCCUAAUAAACCAGACAAUCCAAAUCCAAUGCCAAAUCAUUUUAUAAAUCUUAAGGCUAAUCAGGUACAAUUUCAAAAUCUUUUCUCAAAAUAAGCUUGUAAAUCAGAUUUUUUAUACAAAGUUUGUUUCUUAAUGUAAAUACAUAUUUAAAUCGGGUUUUCAAAACAAAACCACUCUUUCGUAUGCUUUUUACAAAAAAUUCGAACCAAACAUCCUCUUGAAAGUUAGACUUCACCACCCCCUUGGACUCCCUCAUUUCCUCAACAAUUCUCAAUACAGCAUAAUUUUCAAUAAUCAAUUUACUUUAUUUCAGUUUAGUAACUAACAUUUCACUUUAACAUUCAAUACAAUAAUAUCCAAUCAAACUAGCAUCUCAGUUAACAAUAAUUCCCAAAUCAGCUUGCAACAAAGCCCAUUAUUAUCAAAUAAAUCUCAAAUCAACAACCAAAUUGAGAAAUUGACAUGACUAGAAAUUCCAGUAACAAUCACUACGUCAAUCUAAACUCAAUUCAUAAAACUUAAUUCAUAUUUUAGUUUAACAAAUAACACCAAAUUAAGCACCAUCCACAACCAGAAUUCAACCAAUCCUCAUCAACUAGUCAUACUAAAUACUUAUAAAUUAUUUGCAAUUAUUCAAUCAGUCUUUUGGGCAUUCUUAAAUUGAAAACUGUUAACUUUAAAAUAAAACCCCCUACCUCAAUUAGUCGAAACCGCAGAAUUUAAAUGCGACAAACCCUCUUAUUCUAAAUUCACACCAGCAGUGGCUUAAAACCAGCAGUAGCAACAGCAGUAACAUUAUCAAUAAUCAUAGCUAUAGGGGAUGAAAUGAAAUAAAACGAGAAUAGGGUAACAAAUGAAAUAGCAGCAGAGAAAGAAUAAAAACAGAGCAAAUUAGAGGAAGGGAUCUAGACCAUAUCAGAGGUACUUGGACGGCAUCCCAUUUUUUUUAAACGACAACGGUGAUCAUGGCAGCAGCGGUGGCGGCUGAACAGCCCUCUGUCUCUCGGCACAAGCCUCACACAACUCCUUUCCUUGUUCUCAAGGCCCCUCUCUCCUUUCGCACAUGCAACAGAUGAUGGCGGCUAUAGAAACAGCGGCAGCGCUAGAGCAUUCGGUGGUGACGACGGGGUCAUGGCGUGGCGGCAGUGACAGAACACAACAGCAGUGACGGUUCUAACGGCGACUGGUCCCUCAGCGGUGGCAGAACGCGACGGCUCUUCUCCUCCGAUGCGGGCUCUCUCCUUCUUGUGACAACGCCGGCAACGACUUCCCACGGACAGCGACUGGCCGGCGCGAUUCCUUCCUCCAUCGUGGUCCUCUCUCUUGCCUCAGUUCUGAUCCGUGAUGAAGAUGACUUCGCGGACAGCAGCGGCAGUAAGGCGCGGCUUCCCCUCCUCUCCUCUUCUCCCUUCAGUUCUCACUCACAACACACACAACAAAUAAACAAACAAGCACACAGACACAUAAACAUACAUAGAGGGAGAGAAAGAGAUUGUAAGGUCCCAAGGUCUCACAUCGGUUGGGGAGGAGAACGAAGCAUACCUUAUAAGGGUGUGGAUACAUCUCCCUAGCAUGACGCGUUUUGACGAGUGAGUGUGGGGGGUUUCGGCUAUCAUUCCUAUCGUCAAAGGCAAAAUCGUGAGGCCUUGUGUGCCAAAGCGGACAAUAUCGUGCUAGCGGGUGGUCUAGGCUGUUACAGAUGGUAUCAGAACCGAACCCGGAUUGAUGUGCCAGCGAGGGCGCUAGGCUCCCUUGGGGAGGUGGAUUGUAAGGUCCCAAUAAGGUCCCACAUCAAAGGCAAAACCAUGAGGCUUUGUGUGCCAAAGCGGACAAUAUCGUGCUAGUGGGUGGUUUAGGCUGUUACAGAUGGUAUCAUAGCCAGAGCCCGAAUCGAUGUGCCAGCGAGGGCGCUGGGCUCCUUUAGGGAGGUGGAUUGUAAGGUCCCAAUAAGGUCCCACAUCGGUUGGGGAGGAGAACGAAGCAUGCAUGCCUUAUAAAGGUGUGGAUACCUCUCCCUAGCAUGACGCGUUUUGAUGAGUGAGUGUGGGGGCUUCGACUAUCAUUCCUAUCGUCAAAGACAAAAUCGUGAGGCCUUGUGUGCCAAAAUGGACAAUGUCAUACUAGCGAAUGGUCUAGACUGUUACAGAUAACAUAUCACUUUUCCAAAUUUUUUGAAGUGGUGGACCAAGGCAAAUGAAGUUUUUGAGAUACUUUUACACUUCUAUGGUAAACAAAAUUGUCAUAUGAGUCACGCAUUCAAAAAUUUUAAACAGUAAAGACAAAUAUAUAAUAUAUAAAAAUAAUAAAAGUAAAACACAUUUUUUAUUAAUUACGUAAUAUAUAUAGUAUUUUAAAAAAAAUUAUAUAUCANNNNNNNNNNNNNNNNNNNNNNNNNNNNNNNNNNNNNNNNNNNNNNGUAAAUAAUAUAAAAAUAUAGUAUAUUUUUAUUUUAUUAAUGAUUAUUCAUGUUGUUCAAAAAAAUUAUUAAUUACCUAACAUAACCCUAUCCAAUAUUAAUGCAUUAGGCAUGAAAACACGUCCAUGUUCAAUCCCCUCGUUAUGCUAAAAAGCUAUCUUAAAAGGAAGAAUUUUAGAUUAAUUUGAAAUACUAAUGUAAAACACGUUUUUAUAUCUGUAGAUUAAAAAAAGCCUCACGUUUCAAUAAUUUGCAGAUUGUAUAUAUAUAAAUUCGUCGUACACGUGUCUUCAAUUAUUGUACCAUUGCAUAUUUAAUUUGAAUAUUAUAAUGCAAAGGGAGAAAAUAUCUAUAUGACGAGUUGACGACAGAAGUUGAUGUAAUAAUAAACUAUAGUCGUCAAUUAUUGAAAUUAAUAAUCAAAUAUAAUAUUCUGGUGAUGUAGUAUAUAUAAACUUUAAGGAUUUGCAUCUUUUAAAGUUUAAAUUUUACUUUAGAGAGUAAAGUAUGAUCUUCUAUUUUUGAAUAAAUUUUUUUUAUAUAUUUAUUAUUGAUCUCACCUAUAAAAUCAAUAAUGAGAGAUCACACUUUAUUCUCUAAAGUAAAAUUCAAACUUUAGAGAAUCCAAAUCCAAACUUCAAUUAUUGAAGUCCAAUCCUUUCAAUAGAUUUUAAAUUCAAGGAUCACUUUACUUGAAAUGAAAAUAAAUAUCAAUUUGCGACCAAACUCGACUUAUCUCUUCAAAAAUGUAGAUAUAUAUAAUUUUGACAUGUUAGAUAUAAAAUAAAGUUUAAAAUUGAUAUUUAAUUUAAUAUAAUUCUAAUCUAAUUUAAUUUUUUCGUAUUUAUCUUAUUUUAUUUGAAUAAUGUAAUACUACUCAAUUUUCUAUUUAUUCUAUUAAAAAUAUAAGCUCUAAGUAUUUUCCUUAAUUUAAUCCACUCUAAUAUUCAUGAAAAUGAGGAUUUCCUGGAUUGGUGUGACGGUGAUGACACUGGGGUGGCUUAGUAUCAUUUUAUUUUUGGCCGAUUGCAUAGGUUCGUUCUCCCUUGCUUUCUUUGAUGCUUUGAUGAUGUGAAAUAAGAAUAUUCUGUAUAAAAUAAGAUGAUUAGAUAAUAAUAAGAAUGUAACACAUGAAGUGUUUUUGUCAUUUUGUCAAAGUUUUAUUUGUUAAGAUUUCAAGCUAUUCAUGGAAGAUGGUCUAAUAAUUUGGGAUUUUAUUGAUUAAGAUUUUUUUUUUCAAAACUAGUAUUUUUAUUUGUAAUAAAAUUACGAAAAUAUAAAUCUUUUAAAAUUAUGUUGAUUUUGUCUUGACAUUAUAGAUUAUAGAACAAAAAAUUUAUAGAAUUAAAUUACUUUUACAAAAAGGUUACAGGAGACAAAAAUUUCUGUCGACUAAAAAGAUCAUGAUCUCUGUAGAUUAUAAAAAAUCAAAUAAUAUGAUUUUUAGUUAUUAUUUUCAUGUGAAGAGUUUUAUUUUUACUAAUAAUUAAUUUUAACAUUCGUUUCUAAAAUUUAAAAGAAUUUAACGUGUAUACUUUUAUAUUUGAUUACAUAUUUUGGUUAUUAAAUUAAUUAGUAAUAUAUAAUAUAUAAUAUAGUUAUAUUUUAAUUUUAAUAUUUUAAUUUAAUUUGAAUACAAUUAGAGAAUGACAUGUUACAUAUUUUAAUUGUCAAAUUUGUAAUUAGUCAUUAAUAAUGAUAUAUAAGAGAGAUAGAAUUGGUGAAGAAAUGAGAGAAAUAGAAAAAAAGGAGUGGAAAGAAGGGAGAAUUCUUUAAUGUUUCGAAUGAAAGAUUCGAUUUCAACUGGAAUGAGCGAGGGAGUGACAUGUGGUACAUUUUGGUUGUAAAAUUAGUAACAUAUAAUAGAUAGGUAUAAAAUUAACUCAAAAUUAUUUUUUUUAAACAAUUGAAUUUUGAUUCUAACUUUUAAACACAACAUUAGUAUUCUUUUCAAAUUAUAUAUAAUAAAUAUUUGAAGGAAGAGAAGUAAAAAUAUAGAGUAGAAAUAUAAGCAAUAAAAAUUUUAAAAUUAAAUAAAAAAAUAUGCAUAUAAUAAUAAUAACAUUAUUAUUAUUUUUUAUUUGAAUUAUAUUAUGUUGUUAAUUUUUUUUAGAACAUAAAAGUAGAGAAAAGUAGAGAAUGAAAGAAAAGAGAGAGAAAGAUAAAGAAGAAGAAUAAGAGAGGAAAUUUGUUAAUUUUGAAAAGAAAAAUUUUAUUUUACUUGUAAUAAAAAAUAUCUAGUGACACAUUUUAUUUGUCAAAUUACUAAUAUAAAAUAUAAAUUAUAAAUGAUAUAUAGUGUGAAAAAGAUAGAGAUAAAUAAAAAAAAGAGAGGGGUAGAUAAGAAAAUGUAGAAAAGAAGAUUAUUAACUUUGGAGAAAAAUAUUUUCUCUCAAUUUUAAUAAGAGAGUGUCAUGUGACAUAUUUUGAUUGUUAAAUUUGUUAGUAAUAUAUAAUAUAUAAUAUAGUUAUAUUUCAAUUUAAAUUUUAAUAUUUUAAUUUAAUUUAAAUGCAAUUAGAGAAUAUCAGGUUACACAUUUUAAUUGUCAAAUUUAUAAUUAGUCAUUGAUAAUGAUAGACAAAAAGGAUAGAUUGGGUAAAGGAAUGAGAAAAAUAAAAAAAGAGAAUAGGAGGAGGGGAGAAUAUUUUAAUUUUAGAAGAAAAUAUUUGAUUUAAAUUGAAAUGAGAGAAUAAUAUGUAACACAUUUUAGUUAUAAAAUUAGUUCAGUAAAUAACAGUUUAAUUUCAAUUUAAAUUUAUAUAUUGAUUAUUUACGCAUUUAUAUAUUUUUCAUCAAAUAAAACUAUAUUUUACCAAGUAAUAAAACUCAUCCACUUGUCACACAUUUUUAUUGCUUAAUUAUAUUACUUAAAGAAUAUGUAGAAAUAUUGAAAUUGAUGUGGUAAAAUGAAAUUAAAGUUCAGAUGAACAAAGAAAGAAAAGUGUGAUUGUUUAUUCAAUUCACAGAGAAAAGAGUUCAUGUCAAUACAAUACAAUGCAACUCCUUUAUAGUAAGCUAGCAUAACCGAUUCUAGCUCAAGAAAGUUAACUACCUUUCUUUAACUCACUCUUCCUAACAGAAACAGAAUCUGUUUAAUAAUCAAUUCUGUGUCAUUGCUAAUUUGCUAUCCCUUUCAGUCCCCCUCAAAUUCAAGAGUACUUUUAAAGUGACUUUGAGUUUGGAUUUAAAAUUAGAGAAUAUUAAUAGAGAGAAUAGUUUAGUGUAUAUGUUUGCAACUUGGUCUACUCCAAAAAUAUGAACAAUAUUAAAUUUAUGUUGAAUGACUAAGUUUCGAACAAAGCGAAUAUUGAUCUCAAAAUAUUUGUUCGUGGAUAAAGAAUUGGGUUUGCUGAGAGUUGAACCGCACCGGAAUUAUCACAAUAGAUUGUUGGAAUUUCAGAGAGCUUAAAAUGCAAUUCGACUAGAAGAUUUUUGAGCCAUCUGAUCUUAGUAGUUAAUCAGCCAGGGCACGAAAUUCUGCCUCUGCACUAGAGUGGCCGACACAAUGCUGUUUUCUACUUGUCCAAGACACAAUUUUCGAUCCUAAAUAUACGUACGGAAAUAUUUAGUAACCAAAGAAAAUUAGUAAAAAAUAGUCAUAAUUUAUCUUAUUUAGUAUUUAUUAAUUGUUGUAAUAAUUAAUGAAUGUUAAAUAAAGCAAGUUCUGAUUGUGUUAUUUGUCUCCCUAGCAUUAUUGGCACACAUAAUAUCUAGAAGUUAAGCUAUGAUGAUCAAUCAGCAUCUGCAAAGGAGAAAAUUCUUAAGUCCGUGCAUGGAUGAAAGAUAAUUCUUUGAUCCAAUGUCCCAGUUAGAUAUCGAAAAACACGCUUCAUUGAUUUUCAAUGAGCUAGCAGAUGUGUUUGCAUGAAUUAGCUCAGUUUGUUAACUGAGAAAGCGAUUUCAGGUCUUGUUAGAAUGCAAUAUUACAAUGCAACCAUUAUGGAACGGUAAUGAGUUGGAUUUUCAUAUGCUUCAGAUCCAUGAUUAGAAAGCUUCUUUGAUGUGAUCAUUGAUGCUGGAGCAGGUUUGGCUUUACUCAUUUCUGCUCGUACUGAGAGAUCUUUGAUGUAUUCGCUUUGGGAUAGAUGGUAAAUUCCUGAGAAAAACUUUACUGCUUCAAUAUCCAAGUAGUUGAAUAUUCCUAGAAGAAGACAAUGAAUGAUGAACAAAAAGAUAGGAGUAAGAUCGAGUACUCUUAAAACCAAAUUGUGCAAGGAUUGAUGAUAAAGUAAUGUACCAAGCUUGAAGUGCUUGGCAAAGACUGUAUAUAGCUUUAUUUAAUUUGCAUACUUGAUAGUGGUUGUUUAAGAUAAAUAGUUUUGUUUACUUUUUUAUUCAAAAAUGCAUUGUUGAAAUCAUACUAUAUAAAAGUCAAAUACACAAUAGCUAAAGUUAGAAUUAGGUUUGGUUUGGUAAAGUUUUUUGAAACAGACUAUAUACUUGUACUUGCAGUUUUUAAAAGAUUAGAUUAAAAUACUUUUAAAAGCACAUAAGAUAAAAUUUUUUAAAAUUGACUUAUACUUUUCAAAAUUUAAAAGUAUAAUAUAAUCUCAUAUAUCAACUAAUUUUUAAAUUUUAAAACUAUUUUACUAAACGAAAUUGUUAUUACUUAUAUUAUUAAAAAUUAUUUUUAAUUUAAUUUACCAAACAUAAAUACUACAAUUUUUAAAAAAUCAUCAUUUAAAAUUUAACUUUUAUAAAUUACUUUUAAAAAAUAAAAACUUUAUCAAACUAAACUUUACUCUAAUAGAAACUGGUUUAAUCAGUGGACGGAAGACCUCAUAAAAAUCCACUCCUUCAAUUUGAUAAUUAUGUCUAUGGCACCAAUUUUGCUAUAUAUCUAAGAACAAUGUCAUUAGGAUGCCUUUUGACGAAAACAUCCAUUUAGAUCUAAUACUAUUUUAUUGUUAUCCCUUUUUAAAUAUAAUUUUUUUCUAUUAUUUUUCUUUUUUUUAAGAAAAACUAUUAAAAAAGAGUGAUUUUUUCUGCAUUAAUUUAUGAUCGCAAAAUAGUUAANNNNNNNNNNNNNNNNNNNNNNNNNNNNNNNNNNNNNNNNNNNNNNNNNNNNNNNNNNNNUAUAUUAUGUAUUUAUUAAAAUAAAUUAUUUAAUUUUAAAAAUAUUAUGUACACACUAAAAAUUAUGAUGGUUUUCAGUGACUAAGAGAAUGGGUUGAAUCUUAGCCCCUUUUUUCUUGACAAUACUUGCUGGUCUUUGAAACAGCUUCUGGAGACUUUUUGCCUUUUUUGUCUCGUCCCUAGCCACGAGACUUUUUCUUUUGUCUCGUAUCCAGCCAUAAGACUUUUCUUUUUGUCUCGUCGAUCAGCACGAGAUAUUUUCAGUUUUAUCUCCUGAGCAGCAGAAACAGAAAUGGAGUAGAAGAAGGAGAGAAUUACACCAAGAUAUAUCCUGGUUCAGCUGCUAAGUGCAAGGCAACCUACAUCCAGUCUCCAUCACAACAAUGAUGAAAUUUCACUAUAAUCAUUCUUGAUUACAAACACCAAUUUUUCCUACGAACUACCCUUCCUAUUUGGGACAAGUCCAGAAUCUAAUCCCAAACUGAACUUGACUUGGUCACUGCCAAGCUUUCAACUGUAAAGUGCUAACCCAUCUUACAAGGGGAUUCCCACAGAAUCAUGAAACACAACACAUAUGUACAAAGGACCUCUAAGGACAUCUAUGGCUUUUCUUUUAAUUUUGCACUCUUUGCCUUUUUUCGCUCUAUGACUUUUUCUUACAAACCUCACUGUUUGCCUUUUUCCAUGAGACUCAAGACAUGACAAAAUUAAACAGAAAAAUACAAAAUAUAAAACAUUGAAGGAGAAGAACUUCUGUAAGCUUGGGGAGCUAUAGGAACUCUGUGCUCACUCUUUUCCUUAAAUCAAACCUUGACUGUUCACCCUUACUUAUAGGGAGAAGCCUCCAAGGUUGAAACCAAACAAACCAAGCCAAUCUUCUUCUUCUUCAACCAGAACCGGUUCGGCCAGAGAGAGAGAAGAGAUAACCCAUGCAAAACCCAACAUCCAAUUACCUCUAGUCCUUCCUUGGUCACCACUCUUCAUCAAUCCGAGCCCUUCAUCCUUGCCUUGCUCUCCAAGAUGAACUUCUGGCCCUUGAUGCUUCAUGAUGAUGAUAGCUUCAUCUGCUCAAAUCUCUGCCUCUUCUAUCACGUAGCCACUCUAGCUAUCUCCUGUGGUGGCUGAGCAGAAUCAGAGACAAGCCAUCCCUCCAAGGAUCUUCUUCUCUGACCGAGAUCUUCUUCAACCAUUUUUGGUAUGGAGAAGCCAAGAUGUCAUCACAAAAUCUUACCACAAGUGAAUGAGAAUCUUAACCACAGUAUACUUUUAGUUUUCUUUUUCUUGCCAUCAUUGUGAUGGUCUUGUUACUUGCAUCUUCAUCUCUUCGGUGUCUAGCCAUAGCUUCCAUGCUUUCUCUGUAAUGAUAUGACCGAAGGUAGAAGAGAGAGUAGAGAGAGAAAGGAGAAAAAGUAAAGCUAUGAGUAAUGAGUGUUAUUCAUAAAUAAAUUAAUUAAGAUCAACUUCCCAUACUUUUGUGUAGUAGCGUGUAAGCCACAUUAAAACCAUCUGAUCACUUUUCUCUUUCUUUUUCAUAUUUCCAAUGCAAGUCAUUCAAGUUUUAAUUGAAUUUGAAAUCCACCAAAACUUGAGGUGGGAUCCGUUGGAAACUUAGAACUUUACUUUUCUUUCAUUGUAGAUUUCGGACCAAGUCUUGGUUUAGAUAGUAAAGAUUUAAUUGGGCUUGUAGUAACAAUAUUUCAAACUGGCCCAUUUAUAAAAACUCUUUAGCCAACAAUCAUAUAACAAAUUUGCAUAAGGCUGAAUUUUGAUUUUGUUGGGCCUAGGAUCUUUUCUUUUCUUUUCGGCCCAAUUAACCACAAAUUGCUUCAUCCACUCAAUUUAUCAUUUUUUAUACCCAAGGCUAAAUAUAUGAAUUCAUGUUAGGCUGAUCAAUUUAUUUGGCCCAGCAGAAACCUGUAUCAACAAAAUUAUUAAUUAAACAAGUAUGAAUUAAUAUCAAGUUAAUAAUUUUAUAAAUAAUUAUUUUAAUAAUGUUUAGUCAUCACAAAAAUUAAUUUAGAGUUUUCCAAACUCAUCAAUCUCUCCCUUGAUGACAAACAUUAUUAAAAUUGAAAUGGAAAGAAAUCACUCUUCCCGGGUGUGGCUUUCUUCGGUGGAGAUGGUGGUGGUGACGGAAUGGGUGAGGUGUGAGAUUCUUCCUCUUCCUCCACAGGAACUUUCUCUUUCUUCUUCCUUGAAGAGGUUUUCGUGGCUAUGACCUUCCUUCUCAUAGUGUCGGUUUGUUUUGAGGGAGGUGAGGGAGAAGAUGAUGAUGUAGAAUGAAUAUGGAUGUGGGUGUGUGAUUGUGGUGUGGAUGAUUUUUGAGAGAAGAGAAUUCGUUCGCUUUUUCUAGGUGCAGUUUUCUUUUUCAUGAUGAUAAUGGUGAAGUGGAAUAGGAAGGGUUGAUGAAGGCCGAAUUGAGUGUGGGAGUGGGGAGGUUAGAGAUGUAAUAAAUGAGGAGUGGAGAGGAAAUUGGAGGGAAUUUAAUGACCAUUAAGGAGUGGUUAUUACCCAAGGGAGUUUCUCUUUUAUUUGAAAUAAAUUGAAAAGUAGUUUCCUAGAAUCAAGGGAUUAGUUGAGGAAAAGGAUUUGAUUUGACAAUCACCACUUCCAACUAGAUUUUAUGAGAUAACAAAAAGAGAUUGUGAUUUACAUAGAGGAAAACUAACAAAACGGUCAGUGUGGGGUCAAAGAAAUUUGGUGGGCCCAUGAGAAUUGAUUUCGGCGCAGUCUCCCCCUUGAUCACAGCCCUUCCAACACACUCUGAUUUUUAUCUCGUCGUUUCCUACGAGACAAAACUGAGCAGAAUCAAAAUUUCACAAGUUAUCAACGGAAAUUAAAUCAAUCAUUCCCAAAAUUUUUCUCAAAGUGCAGAAUCUGUCUUCACAGAGGGGUUUUGUAAAAAUGUCAGUAAGUUGGCCUUCAGAUUUUACAAAUUGAAUAUCAAUAGUACCCUUUUGCACAUGUUCCCUAAUGAAAUGAUAUUUUAUCUCAAUGUGCUUGGUUCUUAAGUGCAGAACAGGAUUUUUUAAAAUGUUUAUAGCACUCGUAUUAUCACAAAAUAAGGGUAUACUAUUGAUCUUUAAUUUGUAAUCUUUCAACUGCGUUUUUAACCAAAUUAAUUGUGAACAACAUGCAGAUGCAGAAAUAUAUUCAGUUUCAGCUGUGGAUAGAGCCACUGUGGUUUGCUUUUUGCUUGACCACAUGUUGAGUGAGCUUCCAAGGAAGCAACACAUGCCGGAUGUACUCCGUCUAUCCACCCUAUCUCCCACAUAAUAUGCAUCACAAAACCCUACUGCACAAAAGUCAUCAGAUUUAGGAUACCACAAGCCAUAGUCACUAGUUCCCUUAAUGUAUCUAAUGAUGCGCUUAACGGCUGAAAGAUGGGAUUCUUUUGGGUGAGAUUGAAACCUUGAACAUACACCCACACUUUGAACAAUGUCCGGUCUAGAAGAAGUAAGGUACAUGAGUGAACCUAUCAUUUUUCUAUACCUUGUUUCAUCCACAUCUUUGCCAUCAUCAUCAUUUUCAAGUUUUGUGUUAGGAUGCAUUGGUGUUCCCAUUGGUUUGGAACUUUCUAGGCCAAAUUUUUUUAUAAGUUCUUUUGCAUACUUUCCUUGGUGAAUAAAGGUACCACUAGGAGUUUGUUUAAUUUGGAGGCCAAGAAAGAAAGUAAGCUCUCCCAUUAAACUCAUCUCAAACUCACUAGUCAUGAGUUUUCCAAACUCUUCACACAAGGACUCAUUGGCCGAACCAAACACAAUGUCAUCCACAUAAACUUGUACUAGGAGAAUAUCAUCAUUAGAUGCUUUAAUGAAUAAAGUUGUAUCGGUGAUUCCCCUUUGAAAGUGAUUUUCCAAUAGGAGGGCAUUAAGCCUUUCAUACCAAGCUCUUGGAGCUUGCCUAAGGCCAUAAAGGGCCUUUGAUAGUUUGAAAAUAUGAUUUGGAAAAUCUUUAUGUUCAAAAUCGGGGGGUUGUGUCAUAUACACUUCUCUAUCAAUAAAGCCAUUAAGGAAAGCACAUUUAACAUCCAUUUGAAACAUUUUGAAACCCUUAUGGGCAGCAUAGGCAAGAAGCAACCUAAUUGCUUGCAUUCUAGCUACCGGCGCAAAAGACUCAUCAAAAUCUAUACCCUCUUCUUGAUCGUAACCUUGGGCCACUAAUCUAGCCUUGUUACGAACAACUUGUCCAUCCUCACCAAGUUUAUUUUUAAACACCCACUUAGUACCCGUAACUUUCUUACCAUCCGGAUGUGGUACUAGUGUCCAAACCUCAUUCUUGUCAAAUUGAGCAAGCGCUUCUUGCAUGGCUUUGACCCAUGAUGGAUCUUCAAGAGCUUGUCUUACAUUGUUGGGUUCCAUUUGUGACAAGAGAGCAAAGUUGCUUGGUUCGGAUUGUCUUUUGGUUGAGGAUCUUGUUGUAACACCUUGAGAGGGGUCACCAAUGAUAAAGUCAUGAGGAUAGCCUCUCAUAGACUUCCAUUCCCUGGGCUUCUGUAGUGGUGUUGUGCUUUGAUGAGCUUCUGGGGGUCUCACUGUUUCAAAUUCUCGUGCUGGCUCAAGAGACAAAAUGGAAAUGUCUCCUCCAAUCUGACGAGACAAAACUGAACUGGCAGAUUCUUCAUUUUGAGCAGAUUUGGAAUUUUCUUUACUUGUUCUAGCUUCUUCACAAUCUGAAUCAUUAUCUAUCACAGAACUGGGAAUUAAAUUAGAAUCACAAAAAGUAACAUGUAUGGAUUCCUCUAUGGUCCUAUGUUCUUUGAGAUAAAUCCUAUAGGCCUUGCUAGUGGUGGAGUAUCCAACAAAAUUCCUUCAUAUGAUUUUGGAUCAAAUUUGCCAAGGUUUUCUUUAUUGUUAAGUAAAAAGCAUUUGCAUCCAAAAAUAUGAAAAUACUUAAGAUUUGGGGGGGUUCCUUUCCAUAGCUCAUAGGGAGUUUUCUUUAACCCUUUUCUAAUAAUUGUCCUAUUCAAAAUAUAACAAGCUGUAUUUACAGCUUCUGUCCAUAAAAAUUUUGGAAUCUCAUUCUCACAAAGCAUGGCCCUAGUCAUUUCUUGAAAGCUUCUAUUCCUUCUCUUAACCACCCCAUUUUGUUGAGGGGUUCUAGGGCAUGAAAAGUUAUGAGCAAUUCCAAAGUUAUCACAGAAUUUUUCAAAGUCUUGGUUUUCAAAUUCUCUUCUGUGAUCACUUCUUAAAUGAGCAAUUUUUAAAUCCUUUUCAUUUUGAAUUUUCUUGCAAAGGAUUGAGAAAGCAUGAAAAGCAUCAUUUUUAUGAGCAAGAAAAAGUACCCAACCAAAUCUAGAGUAAUCAUCUACCACCACAAGACCAUAGUAUUUACCUCCUAAACUUUGAGUUCAUGUUGGACCAAAAAGAUCAAUGUGUAACAUCUCUAAUGGCCUUUUGGUUGAGAUUCCAUCUUUUGGUUUAAAAGAGGAUUUUACUUGUUUGCCCAAUUGGCAAGCAUUGCAAGUAAAAUCCUUAUCAAAUUUGAUAUUAGGAAUUCCUCUAACCAAAUUUUUCUUGACUAGCUUAGAAAUUUGGUACAUGCUAGCAUGACCCAACUUUCUAUGCCAUAGCCAUUUUUCAGAUUCAAGAAAGGUAAAACAUGUUAUAUUUUGUUCUUUCAAGUUCUCAAGAGUCAAUCCAUACACAUUAUUGCACCUUUUAGCUUCAAAUAAAAUAUCCCUAGAUUUUUCACACACAACCAAACACAUAAAUUUUCUAAAAGUAACUUCAAAACCUAGAUCACACAAUUGGCUAACACUAAGUAAAUUAUGUUUCAAACCAUUUACAAGAAGAAUAUCAUUUAUACAAGAUGAAAAGCUUUUACCAACUUUUCCAACAGCCACUAUCUUUCCUUUAGCAUCAUCACCAAAAGUGACAAAUCCUCCAUCAUAUUCAUCAAGCUUUAUGAAGAAGUUUGUCUUUCCGGUCAUAUGCCUAGAGCAUCCGCUGUCCAUAUACCACAUAUUUUCCUUCCGUUUGGAUGCUAGACAUACCUGUUCAACAUGGUCAGCCAUAAGACAUGGUUGAGGCAUAGUUUCGGUUUCUUCAUCAUCUUCUGCAUCAUUUUUCAGAUCUUCCCAUGAUGCCAUCAGUCCCUUUUUCUUUCCUUUCUUCGGCUUUUCUUCCUUCUUCAACUCAGGGCAGUCAGACUUGAAAUGGCUUAUUUCCUUACAGUUGUAGCAUGUCACCUUGCUGAGAUCUUUCUUCUAUUUUCUUGAGCUGCCUCAUUUGCCUCUCUCCUUGAGCUUUACCAUUUUCCUGAAUUUUUUGGUAAACAACACAAAUUCAUUUUCAGAAUCACUGGAUUCAUCAUCCAGGGGGUUAGUCACAGAUGUAAAAGCAAUCCCUUUCUUUUUUGAAUCCUUUUUUAAAUAAGUGUUUUCAAAAGCAAGAAGAUUUCCUCUCAAGUCAUCAUAUGUCAUGGAAUCAAGACCACUACUCUCAGAAAUUAUUAAUGCUUUUGUUUCCCACUCUUUUGUGAGACAUCUUAACACUCUUCUCACUAGCACAGAUUCAGGAUACUUGAUUCCCAUAGCAUCCAAGCCGACAAUGAUGAUGUUGAAGCGCUCAAACAGUUCAUCAAUAGAUUUUCCUUCCUUCAUUGCAAACUUUCAUACUCUCUGUUCAACAUGUCUAUCCUGGUCUUCUUUACAAUGGUGGUACCUUCAUGAGUCACUAGAAGUUUGUCCCAGAUUUCCUUUGCUGUUGUGCAUCGUGAUACCCGUCGAUACUCCUCGAAGCUGAUAGCACAGUUGAGCAAGUUGAUAGCCUUGGCAUUGAGCUCCACCUUCUUUCUAUCUUCUUCGGUCCAGCUUGCUUCUGGUUUAGGAGUGACAACUCCUUCAGCACUUGUGAUGGUUCGAUAUUGAGGACUUUCCAGGAUAAUCUUCCAAAGUCUGUAAUCCACUGCUUGCACAAAGAUCUUCAUUCUCUCCUUCCAAUAGGUUUAGUUUUUCCCAUUGAAAAGAGGAGGUCUAUUGCUUGAUUGUCCUUCGGUCAGGUUGUAGGACACCAUAUUUGAGCCAUUAUUUUCUGCCAUCUGGAUCUUUUCUCCAAGCUGCAAAGCUUGAUCUCUUUGAGAUCAAGCUCUGAUACCAAUUGAUGGUUUUUAGUGGCUAAGAGAAGGGGGUUGAAUCUUAGCCCCUUUUUUUCUUGACAAUACUUGCUGGUCUUUGAAACAGCUUCUGGAGACUUUUUGCCUUUUUUGUCUCAUCCUUAGCCACGAGACUUUUUCUUUUGUCUCGUACCCAGCUACGAGACUUUUCUUUUUGUCUCGUCGAUCAGCACAAGAUAUUUUCAGUUUUAUCUCCUAGGCAGCAGAAACAGAAAUGGAGUAGAAGAAGGAGAGAAUUACACCAAGAUAUAUCCUGGUUCAGCUGCUAAGUGCAAGGCAGCCUAUAUCCAGUCUCCAUCACAACAAUGAUGGAAUUUCACUAUAAUCAUUCUUGAUUACAAACACCAAUUUUCCCUAGGAACUACCCUUCUUAUCUGGGACAAGUCCAGAAUCUAAUCCCAAACUAAACUUGACUUGGUCACUGCCAAGCUUUCAACUGUAAAGUGCUAACCCAACUUACAAGGAGAUUUCCACAGAAUCAUGAAACACAACACAGAUCUACAAAGGACCUCUAAGGACAUCUAUGACUUUUCUUUUAAUUUUGUACUCUCUGCCUUUUUCUGCUCUAUGGCUUUUUCUUACAAACCUCACUGUUUGCCUUUUUUCAUGAGACUCAAGACAUGACAAAAUUAAACAGAAAAAUAUAAAACAUAAAAUAUUGAAGGAGAAGAACUUCUGUAAGCUUGGGGAGCUAUAGGAACUCUGUGCUCACUCUUUUUCUUAAAUCAAACCCUGACUGUUCACCCUUACUUAUAGGGAGAAGCCUCCAAGGUUGAAACCAAACAAACCAAGCCAAUCUUCUUCUUCUUCAACCAGAAUCGGUUCGGCCAGAGAGAGAGAAGAGAUAACCCAUACAAAACCCAACAUGCAAUUACCUCUAGUCCUUCUUUGGUCACCACUCUUCAUCAAUCCGAGCCCUUCAUCCUUACCUUGCUCUCCAAGAUGAACUUCUGGCCCUUGAUGCUUCAUGAUGAUGAUAGCUUCAUCUGCUCUAAUCUCUGCCUCUUCCAUCAUGUAGCCACUCUAGCUACCUCCUGUGGUGGCUGAGCAGAAUCAGAGACAAGCCAUCCCUCCAAGGAUCUUCUUCUCUGACCGAGAUCUUCUUCAACCAUUUUUAGUAUGGAGAAGUCAAGAUCUCAUCACAAAAUCUUACCACAAGUGAAUGAGAAUCUUAGCCACAGCAUACUUUUAGUUUUCUUUUUCUUGCCAUCAUUGUGAUGGUCUUGUUACUUGCAUCUUCAUCUCUUCGGUGUCUAGCCAUAGCCUCCAUGCUUUCUCUGUAAUGAUAUGACCGAAGGUAGAGGAGAGAGUAGAGAGAGAAAGGAGAAAAAGCAAAGCUAUGAGUAAUGAGUGUUAUUCAUAAAUAAAUUAAUUAAGAUCAACUCCCCAUGCUUUUGUGUAGUAGCGUGUAAGCCACAUUAAAACUAUCAGAUCACUUUUCUCUUUCUCUUUCAUAUUUCCAAUGCAAGUCAUUUCAAGUUUUAAUUGAAUUUGAAAUCCACCAAAACUUGAGGUGGGAUCCGUUGGAAACUUAGAACUUUGCUUUUCUUUCAUUGUAGAUUUCGGACCAAGUUUUGGUUUAGGUAGCAAAGAUUUAAUUGGGCUUGUAGCAACAAUAUUUCAAAUUGGCCCAUUUAUAAAAACUCUUCAGCCAACAAUCAUAUAACAAAUUUGCAUAAGGCUGAAUUUUGAUUUUGUUGGGCCUAGGAUCUUUUCUUUUCUUUUCGGCCCAAUUAACUACAAAUUGCUUCAGCCCCUCAAUUUAUCAUUUUUUUAUACCCAAGGCUGAAUAUAUGAAUUCAUGUUGGGCUGAUCAAUUUAUUUGGCCCAGCAGAAACCUGUAUCAACAAAAUUAUUAAUUAAACAAGUAUGAAUUAAUAUCAAGUUAAUAAUUUUGUAAAUAAUUAUGUUAAUAAUGUUUAGUCAUCACAAAAAUUAAUUUAGAGUUUUCCAAACUCAUCAAAUUAACUUAAUUUAAUAUAUAUAAAAAUAUUUUUAUAUAUUAUUAACUAAAUUAUUANNNNNNNNNNNNNNNNNNNNNNNNNAAACAAAAAAAAUUUAUUAAUCACAAUUUAUUUUUUCUUUUUAUAAUUAUAUGAUAUCUAUUAAUAUUAUUUUUAAAAUAAAUACUUAUAGUAUAUAAUAAUAGGUAAAGACUCAUAUAACUAUCUUUAUAUGAAGUUAAUAGUUGAAAAAUUUUAGAUGAUAUUUAGUCAAACUUGUUAAAUCAUCUAACGGUUCUUAAAUAUUAACUUCACAUGAAAAUAACUGUAUGUGAGUUUUCACCUAUAAUAAUAUAAUAAUACAAUAAAUAUAAACUAAUUAAUAAAGUAUUAAAAUUUAAAAAUGAUAAUUAUUUUUAGAAAACGUUUAGGGGCCAGCAACUUUUUCAAAUUCUGGCCAGCAUAUAACCAGCAAAGAAAAGUGAGCCAUUGGAUAAAAUCUCACACAAUUAAAAUCAUCAUUAAUAGCUAUUUGAUGAUUAUAAAUCAUAAAAAUUAAUGGCUUCUAACACUCUUAUUUUUAUAAAAACAAAAUAAAAAUACUUAUAAUAAAAAAAAUUAAAUUUUAUAUAAUUAUUUUAAUUUUAGCAACCACUCCCCUGUGCCAACAUAGAACUUCCCCUAAAAUAAUUGUUAAUUUUAUCGUAUACCUCUCAUAUGAAAAGGAUAUAAUCUUUUUUAUAUAUAUAAUAUUUAGAUUAAGAUCAGUUUGAUUUUGAUGCCAUUUUCUCCCUCUGGUGGGUGUAUAAAUACAUGAACUUCCCCCACUGGCAAUCAUCAAAACCAUUCGAAGCCACUAGUACUUAAUAUUGAAAAUCCUCACUCAAAUAACUCUCCCUCCCACCAUGAAACCAUUUUAUGCUCUUCUUACUUUCUUCCUCUUGCUUGUAGUAGCAAGUAAGAAGGUGAACUCAGCAUCCGAAACUGAAACAGUUUCCUUCAACUUCAACUCUUUCGCCCAAGGUAACCCCGCAAUAAAUCUCCAAGGCGACGCCACCGUUCUUUCCGACGGCAAUGUACAACUCACCAACGUCAAAAGUUCCUAUAGCGCCGGGCGUGUCCUGUAUGGCACGCCCGUGCGCCUUUGGGACAAAGCCACCGGCAAUGUUGCCAGCUUCGUCACCUCGUUCUCUUUCCAGCUGACGGAUCUGCAAGGUUAUAAUGCGGCCGACGGUAUUAUUUUCUUCGUUGCACCGGAAGAUACGCAGAUUCCGUCCGGCGGAGUUGGCGGCACCUUAGGGGUUGCAAGCUCUAACGGCGUCGGUCAAUUUGUUGGUGUAGAAUUUGAUUCCUACUCCAACUCUGAGUUCAAGGAUCCACCCUAUCAACACGUUGGAAUCGAUGUAAACACUCUGGUUUCGUCCAAGACUGUGGAAUGGAAAAGAGUGAGUGGGUCGGUGGUGAAAGUGACUGUGAUCUAUGACUCUCCAUCAAAGACAUUGAGUGUUGCUGUGAUCAAUGAGAGUGGCGAUAUUAAUACCAUCGCUGAUGUUGUUGAUUUGAAGGCGAAGCUUCCGGAAAAGGUCAAGUUCGGGUUUUCAUCUGCUUCGUCGGUUGGCGGUCGUCAGAUUCAUCUCAUCCGUUCAUGGUCUUUCAUUUCAACCUUGAAGACAACAACAAGCAUCAGCAGCAAUGGAACAAUAAUGGAUAUUGCAACCGCAUGAUUUGGUCUACGCUAACUAGUACUACUUUAAAAUAAAGAAACAGACCAUAUGUGUGUAUCAGUAUCGACUGUGUCUGUGCGUGUACGGUUCCAUAUAUAUUUUCACUAAUCAACUUGUGGUUGGACCGUUGAUUAUUUAAAUAACAACUUUGUGAGAGAACUUGGUGCAUUUAAUUGUAGCUAAUUAGUAAUUUUUUUUAUUUUUUUAAAAGAACAUGAAUUUAAACUAUUAUAAAAAAUACUUAAAAUUAAAUAAAAAUCUAAAAUUUAAAAAAUAUUUGCUCGGUUAACUUACAUUUUAACUUAUCAAGAAACCAACCCAGGUCAACUUGCUUGGUUAAGUAAGUGUUGUAGAUUUCAAUUUUGCUUUGUGCAUGCAGCAAACUUUAAAUAGAGUUUCGAGCCACGAAUUAAUUUUUGACCUAUUGAACUGUGGGAUACCAUGGACAACAAAAAAAACUUAUCAAGCGAAGCGACACUUUUCUAAUUUACCAUAUGUACAUAUCAGUCACAUUUUGGACACGUACAAAUUUGAAUAAAAUUGAUUUUUUUAUUAUAAUAACAAUAAAUUCAAUUUUUUUUUUAGAAAUUUAAUUAUAUUUUUAAAUUUUUAGGAAUUUAAAUAUCCACAAAACAAAAAGUUAGGGAUAUAUUUAUCUUUUUAUCAAAAAAUUUAAAAAUAUUCUAUUUAGAUUGUAUAAUUCGAUCCGAUCAAAUUGGUUCUAAUAAUUAUAAUGCAAACCAUUGAAUUUAUUAUUGUUACUAUAAUAAAUCGAUUUUGUUCUAAUUUAUUAAAAAAUAAAUUAUUAACCAAUUUAAUAAAGAUAUCUAAUAAUAAAAUAACACAUAUAAAUGUCUUUAAAAAAAAUAUUUUAAAUGUGUUUAUUAAAGUGGUCUCCAUCUAUUAAUGCUUGUGCAUCAUAAAUUCUAACUAAUUUUUUAUUUGUAUAGUUCUUAAUUUUUUAUUAGUCAUGACUCAUGAGGACUAAUCUUUUAAAUAGGACCCAGCCAUAUGCCGAAGUUUUGAAUGUUAAGACCUAGUUACUAUAAAUAAAUGUUAAAAACUUAAAAUACAUAUUCUAAGCGACUACCUCUGAUAAGUAGGAUAAAAUCUAAAAAAAUAUGCAUACAUAAUUAUUGAAGAAUAUUAGAUCAUAAAAUUUAUUAAUUUUUGGUUAUUAGUUAAUCGUUAAUAUUUAAAAGUAUGGGAUAAAAUAUAUUUUUUUGUUGUUUACGAUAUUUUUCAAUCUGAACUGAUCAUUCGACCAGUCCAAGUUAGUUAUGGGAUAAAGUAUUUUUUUAUCAAAGAUAGGAGACUCGAACCCGCAACCUCUUAAUUGAGUAUAGAAAGACUAUGUCAUUUGAGCUAUGAUGAUUUCAGUGGCUAAGAGAAUGGGGAGUUGAAUCUUAGCCCCCUUUUUUUUGGUUGCUAAUACUUGCUGAACUCAGAGGAGACUUUUCUGUUUUAGCUCGUCUCUGGACACGAGACUUUUUCUUUUGUCUCGUCCCUAGCCACGAGACUUUUCGUUUUGUCUCGUCACUUAGCACGAGACAUUUUUAGUUUUUGCUCCUGUGCAGUAGAAAACAGAAAUGGAGUAGGAGAGAAGAAAGAUUACACCCAGAUAUAUCCUGGUUCAGCUGCUAAGUGCAGUGCAGCCUACAUCCAGUCUCCAUCACAACAAUGAUGGAAUUUCACUAUAAUCAACUUGAUUACAAACUGUAAAGUGCUAACCCAACUUACAAGGGGAUUCCCACAGAAUCAUGAAACACAACAUAGAUGAACAAAGGAACUCUAAAACAUCUAAGGCUUUUUCUUUUAAUUUUGCACUCUCUGCCUUUUUUCGCUCUAUGGCUUUUUCAUACAAACCUCACUGUUUGCCUUUUUCCAUGAGACUCAAGACAUGACAAAAUUAAACAGAAAAAUACUAAACAGAAUACAUUGAAGGAGAAGAAAAUCUGUAAGCUUAGGUAGCUCUGAGAAUCCUGUGCCUUGCACUCUCACUGCUUACUUCUAACUCCUUGCUCCAAACAGUGGCUGUUCUCUCUUUUUAAAGAAGAGGGAAGCCUCCACACUUGAAGCCAACACCCAAACCAACUUCUUUCUCCUUCAACAAACAGAACCGGUUCGGCCACAUAGAGAGAGAAGAGAUAAUCAUGCAAAACCCAACAUACAAUUACCUCUAGUCCUUUCUUGAUCAUCACCCUUCAUCAAUCCGAACUCUCCAUCCUUGACUUGCUCUCCAAGAUGAAUUUCUGGCCCUUGAUGCUUCAUGAUGAUAAUGACUUCAUCUGCUUCAAUCUCUGCCUCAACCAUCACUUCGCCACUCUAGCUACUUCCUGUGGUGGUUGAGCAGAAUCAAAGACAAGCCAUGCUUCAAGAAUCUCCCUUGCUGGCCGAAUCUUCAUCGUCCAUUUUUGAGCAUGAAGAGCUCAAGAUUACUUCACCAAAUCUAACCAUAUUUGGUGAAAAUCUUAGCUACAGCUCAUUUUUAUUUUAGUAUGUUUUCUUGCCAUCAUUAGCUUGAUGGUCUUGAUGCAUGCAGCUUCAUUUCGGUAGCUCCAUAUAGCUUCCAUGGCUUCCUUUAUUUUCUAGAUAUUGACCGAAAAGAAGAAAGAGAUGAGAGAGAAUAAACAACUUAAAAUAAAAGCAAUUCAAAUGUAAUAAACCAAUUAGUUGGUGAAAGUUGCUUUUACUUCCCUAGCUUAGAGUGGCGUGCAGCACUAUGGCCAUCAAUCAAUUCAGCUGCAACUUUCUCUCUCAUAGUUCCCAUGCAUUAAAUGACAAUGUAAUGAAUUUUGGAAUCCAUCACAUGGUGAAGUGCUUGGAUCCGUUGAAAGCAAUUUUUGCUUUCUUUAUCAUGGAUUUCGGAUCAUGCAUGAGGAACUUCUCAUUAAAUGUGAAAUUGGGCUUAGUUGCAACAACAUUUAAUUUCUGGCCCAAUAAUAACAUUUGCUUUCCUGAUGAAAUUUGGAUCAAGCAUUGAACAUAUAGGAAAGCUUUGCUUAUAGUAACAAAAUUUAUUCUGGCCCAACUGAUAAAACCUUUUCAGCCAACAAUCACAAAACAAGAAUUACAUAGGGCUGAAUUUUAAUUUAUUGGGCUUGGGAUCUUUCUUUUUAUUUCGGCCCAAUUAUAAAACCUGCAACACAAAAUUAUUAAUUAAUAUAUGUUAGAUGAGAAAUCAAAAUUAAUAAUUUUGUUUAAUAAUGUUUAGUCAUCACAAAUAUUAAUUUGGAGUUUUCCAAACUCAUCAAUCUCCCCCUUGAUGACAAACAUUUAAAAUUGAAAUGGGAAUUUUUUUUUUUUUUAAAAAUUGAGUAAAGAAUACUCCCUUUGAAGAUUGAAUUUCUCCCCCUUUCUAAAUGUCACAUGGCUCCCCCUUGAUGUAUGCUUAUUUUACUAAGGGAAGCACUAACCUGUAACAUUUUAAUCAAGCUUCAAGAACAAUGUUAUUUAGCAUAUUAUAUGAUGCUAAAUGCUUGAUUUAUGAGCAAUUUUAAAUUGAUAAUCAAAACUCAUUUGAUAUCAUAAACUGAUUUACUGCUCAAACUUUUUACACACACCAAUCAACAAGAAAGUUUAUUCAAAUAUUUUUCUAAACAAGAUAUCAGAGCAUUAUUAUGGUAAGAAAAAUAUUUGAAGCACAUAUGGUCAAAAACAUGGCAGUUUUUUUAUGCUUUCCAUGGUUUAAAGGAACUGUCAAAAAAAUUAAGCAUAUUAACCAAGAUGAAAACAGAGUUUUAAUCAUGCGUAUACAUUCAUCACGGUUAAUUAUCAACCAUUCUUCAUAAAACAAAUGCAUUGUCAACUCAUUAUUAAACAAUAUCAGCAAACACAAUGCAGUUUCAAUAUUAUCAUCAAGCAAAUCAGCAAACACAAUGCAGUUUCAAUAUUAUCAUCAAGCACCAAAUAUAACAAGGGUGAUCAUAAAUUUUCAACAAAAAAUUUCAUCCCCUGUUUUCUAUUUUCUCCUCCCCUGUUUUUCAUAUUUCAAUUUUCAGCUUUUCUCCCCUGUUUUCUAUUUUCUCCUCCCCUAUUUUUCAUAUUUCAAUUUUCAGCUUUUCUCCCCCUUUUGUCAUCAAAGGGGCAUUAUGUACUCGGUUGUGUGAGCCGCUUUGGGGAGUUAAAAUAUGGGUGAUGAUUCGGUGAAGCAGAGAAUUGACUGGUCCUAGAGCUUUGUGGGUUGGAAUCGUUCCAUGCAAGCCAGAAAGAUUCUCGCAGAUGUGCUGAAGAACUGCUUUGUAUGAAACACCGACUUGUAUAUCCCAUUUGUCUACCAUAUACGCUCGCGGUCCUUCAUCCUUGAAGCCCAGGGUCGCUCCAAUGGUCUCAGAAUCAAGGGCUAUUUGAACCCUUUUGACAUAGGAAUGAAGAGUGCUGUCAAUGAGCCGCAUAUUGGCGUAGAACUCUCGGACUAGGCCAGGAUAGACUGGUUUCUGAAUGAGAAGAAGGGGCUUCCAGUUUAGGAGUUCAAACAGAGAGGAGAUGUUGAUGCCCUUGUUAGUGAGAGUGUCGAGAUUCACAAGGUAGGUUGUACAUAGAUGACGUUUUUCCAUAACCUCAUUGUGAAACUCAAAGGAAGUACAAGAGUUGAAUCUGCUAGGAUCAAAGUGGGAGUGAGUCUUGCCAUACUUGUUUCUGAAUUCCAGGGAUUCCAAAUUUGGAGGUUCGGUUGUGUCGUGAAGAGCAAAACCCUUAGUCUUUUGAGUACUCUUUCCGGAUGCAUGAGGAGUUGAUCUCUUUGGUGGUGAUUGUGGAGGGGAAGGGAUAGGAGAAGUAUGAGACUCUUCUUCUUCUGCCACGGGAACACUUUUCUUCUUCCUUGAGAAAGUUUUUGUGGCAAUGACCUUUCUUCUCAUUGCGUCUGUGCGUUUUGAAGGAGGUGAGGGUGAUGAAGAUGAUGUAGAAUGGAUGUGAAUGUGUGUGUGAGAUUGUGGAGUAGACUGUUUUUCAGAGAAUAGGAGCCUUUCACUUUUUCUUGGCGCGGUUUUCUUUUUCAUGGUGAUGGGAGAAAACCGAAUAUGAAAGGUUGGUGAGGUAACUGAAUGAGUGGGGAAGAAGGAAGGUGAGAGACACAUUAAAUGAGGAUUGGAGAGAGAAUUUGGUGGAAGUAAUGACCAUUAGUGAGCGGUUAAUGACCAUUAUGGAGAGGUUAUUACUCAAAAAUGAUUUUUCUUUUAAUUUUUGAAAUCUAAAACUGAAAAGUUGUUGCCUUAAAUCAAGGGAUUAGAUGGAGAGAGGGAUUUGAUUUGACAAUAACCACUUCCAAUAGGAUAUGAUGACAUAAGGAAGAAGAUUCUUAUUUGCAUAGAGAGAUAACUAACAAAAUUGUUAAGGUGGGGUCAAGAAAUUUUGGUGGGGCCCAUAAAAUUUUGAACUCUGCGUUGCCUCCCCCUUGACCACAGCUCCUUUAUGUAUUUUAUCUCGUCCAAACCUACGAGACAAAACUGGACAGUGUUAAAAAAUUCAAGAAUUUUCAAUGAAACUUAAAUCAAACAUUCCCAAACUUUUUUCUUAAGCUACAGAAUCUGUCUUCAUAGAGGAGUUUUGUAAAAAUAUCAGCAAUUUGGUCUUCAGAUUUUACAAAUUGAAUAUCAAUAGUUCCCUUUUGUACAUGUUCCCUAAUAAAGUGAUAUUUUAUCUCAAUGUGCUUUGUUCUUGAGUGCAAAACAGGAUUUUUUGAAAUGUUUAUAGCACUCAUAUUAUCACAAAAUAAGGAUAUACUAUUGAUUUUUAAUUUGUAAUCUUCUAAUUGUGUUUUUAACCAAAUUAAUUGAGUGCAACAUGCAGAUGCGAAAAUGUAUUCUACUUUAGCAGUGGAUAAAGCCACUGUGGCUUGUUUCUUGCUUGACCACAUGUUGAGUGAGCUUCCAAGGAAGCAACACAUGCCGGACGUGCUUCUUCUAUCCACUCUAUCUCCCGCAUAAUCUGCAUCACAAAAUCCUACUGCACAAAAGUCAUCAGAUUUAGGAUACCAUAAUCCAUAAUCACAAGUUCCCUUAAUAUAUCUAAUGAUGCGCUUAACAGCCGUGAGAUGGGAUUCUUUUGGGUGAGAUUGGAACCUUGAACAUACACCCACACUUUGGACAAUGUCCGGUCUAGAGGAGGUAAGGUACAUGAGUGAACCUAUCAUUCCCCUAUACCUUGUUUCAUCCACAUUUUGACCAUCAUCAUCCUUUUCAAGUUUUGUGUUGGGAUGCAUUGGUGUACCCAUUGCUUUGGAAUUUUCUAGGCCAAACUUUUUAGUAAGUUCUUUUGCAUAUUUUCCUUAGUAAAUAAAAGUAUCACUAGGAGUUUGUUUAAUUUGGAGGCCAAGAAAGAAAGUAAGCUCUCCCAUUAAACUCAUUUCAAACUCACUAGUCAUGAGUUUUCUAAACUCUUCACACAAGGAAAUGUUGGCCGAUCCAUAUACAAUAUCAUCAACAUAAACUUGAACAAGGAGUAUGUCAUCAUUAGAUGCUUUAAUAAAUAAAGUAGUGUCGGUGGUACCCCUUUGAAAUUGAUUUUCCAACAAGAAGGCACUAAGCCUUUCAUACCAAGCUCUUGGAGCCUGUCUAAGACCAUAAAGAGCUUUAGUUAAUUUGAAAACAUGAUUUGGAAACUCUUUUUGUUCGAAACCGGGGGGUUGUGUCACAUACACUUCUCUAUCAAUAAAGCCAUUAAGGAAAGCACACUUAACAUCCAUUUGAAACAUUUUGAAACCUUUAUGGGCGGCAUAGGCAAGAAGCAAUCUAAUUGCUUCCAUUCUAGCUACCGGAGCAAAAGACUCAUCAAAAUCUAUACCUUCUUCUUGAUCAUAACCUUGGGCCACUAAUCUAGCCUUGUUACGAACAACUUGUCCAUCCUCACUAAGUUUAUUUUUAAAUACCCACUUAGUACCCGUUACCUUCUUACCAUCCGGAUGAGGUACUAAUGUCCAAACCUCAUUCUUGUCAAAUUGAGCAAGUUCCUCUUGCAUGGCCUUGACCCAUGAUGGAUCUUCAAGAGCUUGUUUAACAUUGUUGGGCUCCAUUUGUGAUAAGAGAGCGAAGUUGCUAGGUUCAGUUUGCCUUUUGGUGGAGGAUCUUGUUGUUACACCAUGAGAGGGAUCACCAAUGAUGAAGUCAUGAGGAUAUCCCCUCAUAGACUUCCAUUCUCUAGGCUUUCGGACAGGUGUAGAGCUUUGAUGAGCUUCUGGUGGUUUCACUGUUUCAGUUGCUCGUGUCUGCUCAGGAGACAAAAUGGAAAUUUCUCCUCUAAUCUGACGAGACAAAACUGGACUGACAGAUUCUUCAUUUUGAACAGAUUUGGAAUUUUCUUUGCUUGUUCCAGCUUCUUCACAAUCUGAAUCAUUAUCUAUCACAGUACUGAGAAUUAAGUUAGAAUCACAAAAAGUAACAUGUAUGGAUUCCUCUAUUGUCCUAUGCUCCUUGAGAUAAACUCUAUAGGCCUUGCUUGUGGUGGAAUAUCCAACAAACAUUCCUUCAUAGGAUUUUGGAUCAACCUUUCCAAGGUUUUCUUUAUUAUUAAGCACAAAACAUUUGCAUCCAAAAACAUGAAAAUACUUAAGAUUUGGAGGGGUUCCUUUCCAUAGCUCAUAAGGGGUUUUCUUUAAUCCUUUUCUAAUGAUUGUUCUAUUCAAAAUAUAACAUGCUGUGUUCACAGCUUCAGCCCACAAAAAUUUAGGAAUUUCAUUCUCACAUAGCAUAGCCCUAGUUAUCUCUUGAAGGCUUCUAUUCCUUCUUUCAACCACCCCAUUUUGUUGGGGGUUCUAGGGCAUGAAAAGUUAUGAANNNNNNNNNNNNNNNNNNNNNNNNNNNNNNNNNNNNNNNNNNNNNNNNNNNNNNNNNNNNNNNNNNNNNNNNACAAGUAAGAUCCUUAUCAAACUUGAUGUUUGGAAUUCCUCUAACCAAAUUUCUUUUGACUAGCUUAGAAAUUUGAUACAUACUAGCAUGUCCCAACUUUCUAUGCCAAAGCCAUUUUUCAGAUUCAAAAGAUGUAAAGCAUGUUACAUUUUGUUCCUUUAAAUCCUCAAGAGUUAAUCCAUACACAUUGUUGCAUCUUUUAGCUUCAAGAAGAACAUUCCCAGUUUUCUUACAAACAACUAAACAAACAAACUUCUUAAAAAUAACUUCAAAACCUAAAUCACAUAGUUGACUAACACUAAGUAAAUUAUGUUUCAAGCCAUGUACAAGGAGAACAUCAUUUAUACAAGUUGAGAAAUUUUUACCCACUUUCCCAACAGUCACAAUUUUUUCUUUUGCAUCAUCACCGAAAGUGACAAGCCCUCCAUCAUAUUCAUCAAGCUUUAUGAAGAAGGUUGUCUUUCCGGUCAUAUGCCUAGAGCAUCCGCUGUCCAUAUACCACAUAUUUUCUUUUCUUUUGGAUGCUAGGCAUACCUACAAAAACAAGCUUAAGUAACCUUAGGUAUCCAAAUCCUUUUGGAUCCUUUUACGUUAAACUAUCUUCUAUGUCAUAAGCCAUUGUAAUAAAAAACAAUUUUAUAAACCUUAUCACCGACCAUUCUUUCACCAAAAAAGCAUUGAAUGGGAAAGUGUCCAUUCCUAUUGCAUAGUCUACAAAAUCUUGGAGUUGCUGUUUUGUUAAAGUAGGUGGGAUCUUGAAAUCUUGUAUUAUUAGAAGAUGAAGUAAUAUUUUCGAAAUGUGAUUUUUCAGAUUUAUAGAACCCCAACCCAGCCUUAUCAUAAAGAGAUUUUUGACUAGCCAAGAUGUGAUUCAGAUUUUCGGAACUUUGGGUGAACUUGGCUAAGUCUUCCUUAAGUCUUUUAACCUCUUUAAGCAACUCUUUAUUUUGCUUAAAACAAUCUACAUAUGCAAGAACAUAAUGGUUAUUUUCACAGCUUCUAACUUGGGCUCUUAACUGCUUAUUUUCUUCAACAAGAUCACAAGCAGUUUCGGCCUCUCUUACUUUUUCUUUUAGAAAACUGUUUUCAGCCUUAAGAAUGGUAAUUUGUUGUUCAAGUUCUUGAUUUUCCAGCAGAAAACAUCUUAUUUUUUCAGAAAGGUGGUCUAUCAUAAGAUGAAGAUCUUCAGUAUUAGGGUUAUGAAAGACUACCUGAUCUAUGUGGUCUGCCGUGAGACAUGUUUGUGACUUGGUCUCAGUUUCUUCAUCAUCAUCAUCAUCGGAGUCAUUCUCCAAGUCUUCCCAUGAGGCCAUUAGUCCUUUCUUCUUUCCUUUUUUUGGUUUUUCUUCCUUCUUUAACUUGGGACAAUCAGAUUUGAAAUGCCCCAUUUCCUUGCAGUUGUAGCAAGUCACUUUGCUAAGGUCUUUCUUCACUCUCCUUGAGCUGCUGCCUUUGCUUUUGAGCUUAGCCAUUUUUCUGAAUUUUUUUGCAAACAACACAAACUCAUUUUCAGAAGAGUUAUCAAUGGAUUCUUCAUCCAGAGGGUUAGUCAUAGAAGAAAAAACAAUUCCUUUCUUUUUUGAAUCUUUUUUCAAAUAGGUGUUUUCAAAAGCAAGAAGAUCUCCUCUCAAAUCAUCAACUGUCAUGGAAUCUAAGCUACUGCUCUCAGAAAUAAUUAAAGCUUUAGUUUCUCACUCUUUUGUGAGACAUCUCAACACUCUUCUCACUAGCACAGAUUCAGAGUGUGUAAUUCUCAGAGCAUCUAAGCCAACGAUGAUGGCAUUGAACUGUUCGAACAGUUCAUCAAUGGACUCUCCUUCUUUCAUUGCAAACAUUUCAUACUCUCUAUUCAACAUGUCUGUUCGAGUCUUCUUUACAAUGGUGGUUCCUUCAUGGGUGAUUUGCAAUUUGUCCCAGAUUUCCUUUGCCGUUGUGCAUCUUGAUACCCGUCGGUAUUCCUCGAAACUGAUAGCACAAUUGAGUAAGUUUACUGCCUUGGCAUUUAACUCCACCUUCUUCCUAUCUUCCUCUGUCCAGCUUGCUUCUGGUUUGAGAGAAACAACUCCUUCGGCACUUGUAACAGUUGGAUAUUGAGGUCCUUCCAAGAUUAUUUUUCACAGUCUGUAAUCCACUGCUUGUACAAAUAUCUUCAUCCUCUCCUUCCAAUAGGUAUAAUUUUUCCCAUUGAAAAGAGGGGGUCUAUUGCUUGAUUGACCUUCAGUAAGAUUAUAGGACACCACAUUUGCACCACUGUUUUCCGCCAUAAGGAUCUUUACUCCAAGCUGCAAAGUUUGAUCUCUUUGAGACCAAGCUCUGAUACCAAUUGAUAGUUUCAGUGGCUAAGAGAAGGGGGGGGAUUGAAUCUUAGCCCCCUUUUUUUUGGUUGCUAAUACUUGCUGAACUCAGAGGAGACUUUUCUGUUUUAGCUCGUCUCUGGACACGAGACUUUUUCUUUUGUCUCGUCCCUAGCCACGAGACUUUUCGUUUUGUCUCGUCACUUAGCACGAGAUAUUUUUAGUUUUUGCUCCUUUGCAGUAGAAAAUAGAAAUGGAGUAGGAGAGAAGAAAGAUUACACCCAGAUAUAUCCUGGUUCAGCUGCUAAGUGCAGUGCAGCCUACAUCCAGUCUCCAUCACAACAAUGAUGGAAUUUCACUAUAAUCAACUUGAUUACAAAUUGUAAAGUGCUAACCCAACUUACAAGGGGAUUCCCACAGAAUCAUGAAACACAACAUAGAUAAACAAAGGAACUCUAAGACAUCUAUGGUUUUUUCUUUUAAUUUUGCACUCUCUGCCUUUUUCCGCUCUAUGGCUUUUUCAUACAAACCUCACUGUUUUUCUUUUUCCAUGAGACUCAAGACAUGACAAAAUUAAACAGAAAAAUACUAAACAAAAUACAUUGAAGGAGAAGAAAAUCUGUAAGCUUAGGUAGCUCUGAGAAUCCUGUGCCUUGCACUCUCACUGCUUACUUCUAACUCCUUGCUCCAAACAGUGGCUGUUCUCUCUUUUUAAGGAAGUGGGAAGCCUCCACACUUGAAGCCAACACCCAAACCAACUUCUUUCUCCUUCAACAAACAGAACCGGUUCGGCCACGUAGAGAGAGAAGAGAUAAUCAUGCAAAACCCAACAUGCAAUUACCUCUAGUCCUUUCUUGAUCAUCACCCUUCAUCUAUCCGAACUCUCCAUCCUUGGCUUGCUCUCCAAGAUGGAUUUCUGGCCCUUGAUGCUUCAUGAUGAUAAUGACUCCAUCUGCUUCAAUCUCUGCCUCAACCAUCACUUCGCCACUCUAGCUACUUCCUGUGGUGGUUGAGCAGAAUCAAAGACAAGCCAUGCUUCAAGAAUCUCCCUUGCUGGCCGAAUCUUCAUCGUCCAUUUUUGAGCAUGAAGAGCUCAAGAUUACUUCACCAAAUCUAACCAUAUUUGGUGAAAAUCUUAGCUACAACUCAUUUUUAUUUUAGUAUGUUUUCUUGCCAUCAUUAGCUUGAUGGUCUUGAUGCAUGCAGCUUCAUUUCGGUAGCUCCAUGUAGCUUCCAUGGCUUCCUUUAUUUUCUGGAUAUUGACCGAAAAGAAGAAAGAGAUGAGAGAGAAUAAACAACUUGAAACAAAAGCAAUUCAAAUGUAAUAAACCAAUUAGUUGGUGAAAGUUGCUUUUACUUCCCUAGCUUAGAGUGGCGUGCAGCACUAUGGCCAUCAAUCAAUUCAGCUGCAACUUUCUCUCUCAUAGUUCCCAUGCAUUAAAUGACAAUGUAAUGAAUUUUGGAAUCCAUCACAUGGUGAAGUGCUUGGAUCCGUUGAAAGCAAUUUUUGCUUUCUUUAUCAUGGGUUUCAGAUCAUGCAUGAGGAACUUCUCAUCAAAUGUGAAAUUGGGCUUAGUUGCAACAUUUAAUUUUUGGCCCAAUAAUAACAUUUACUUUCCUGAUGAAAUUUGGAUCAAGCAUUGAACAUAUAGGAAAGCUUUGCUUAUAGUAACAAAAUUUAUUCUGCUCCAACUAAUAAAACCUUUUCAGCCAACAAUCACAAAACAAAAAUUAUAUAGGGCUGAAUUUUAAUUUAUUGGGUUUGGGAUCUUUCUUUUUAAUUCGGCCCAAUUAUAAAACCUGCAACACAAAAUUAUUAAUUAACAUAUGUUAGAUGAGAAAUUAAAAUUAAUAAUUUUGUUUAAUAAUGUUUAGUCAUCACAAAUAUUAAUUUGGAGUUUUCCAAAUUCAUCAAACUAUAAAAUAAUUAAAUUAAAAACUAAGUAAUGAUAAAAAUAAUAGAUUCUGAUGAUCCUAACAUUUUUAUAAUUGCUUUUUAGUGUGAAUAAUAAAAAAAGAAAUUGAGAUGGAAAAAAAGGGAUUUAUAUAUUAAAAAAAAUGUGAAACUAAACCUUUAUUGUUCACAUCCAAAAUUAAUAGAGAGGAAGAGUACACUCAAAUGGGUAUACAUCUGUGUGUGUGUGGCAUAGCAAUAGUAUUGAGCAAUUAAUUUCAUGUCCAAUAAUAACUACUAGUAUGAAUAUGAUACACCAUCCAAUAUGCAUAUUUAUACUUGGGUAGUGUGAGACUGUGAGGUGGCAUUGUUAAGCCCUGAGGUGUUGCCUUCCCAUGCUGCAUGAUAUACUCAGUUCUGGUAUACUUUUGAUGGCCUGAUGCAUGCAAAUUCAACUUUUUCCUCUAUAAAUACACGAACGAAAUCCCAGUUGUAAUCAUCAAAACCAUUCCAAACCAAUCCUUAUCAACCUCCCACUGCACCAUGAAACCAUUUUGUGUUUUUCUUACUUUCUUUCUCUUGCUAGCAGCAAGUAGUAAGAAGGUGAACUCAGCGGAAACAGUUUCCUUCAACUUCAACUCUUUCAGCGAAGGAAACCCCGCAAUAAAUUUCCAAGGUGACGUCACUGUUCUUUCAAAUGGCAAUAUACAACUCACGAACCUCAACAAGGUAAAUAGCGUCGGCCGUGUUCUUUAUGCCAUGCCGGUGCGCAUUUGGAGCAGUGCCACCGGCAAUGUCGCCAGCUUCCUCACCUCCUUCUCUUUCGAGAUGAAGGAUAUCAAAGAUUAUGAUCCUGCCGACGGUAUCAUCUUUUUCAUUGCACCGGAAGAUACGCAGAUUCCUGCCGGCAGUAUUGGUGGUGGAACCUUAGGCGUCUCUGACACUAAAGGGGCGGGUUACUUUGUUGGAGUGGAGUUUGAUACCUAUUCCAACAGUGAGUACAACGAUCCACCCACUGAUCACGUUGGAAUUGAUGUAAACAGUGUGGAUUCGGUGAAGACCGUGCCAUGGAAUAGUGUGAGUGGAGCAGUGGUUAAAGUGACUGUGAUAUAUGACUCUUCAACAAAGACAUUGAGUGUUGCUGUGACCAACGACAACGGCGAUAUUACCACCAUUGCUCAAGUUGUUGAUUUGAAGGCGAAGCUUCCGGAGAGGGUCAAGUUUGGUUUUUCUGCCUCCGGCUCCCGUGCCGGUCGUCAGAUACAUCUCAUCCGUUCAUGGUCUUUCACUUCAACCUUGAUAACAACAACCAGAAGAAGCAUCGACAAUAACGAAAAGAAAAUAAUGAAUAUGGCAAGUGCAUGAUUUGGUUUCUACGUACGCUACCUAGUACUUUUAAAGAAAGACCAGACCUUUGUGUGUUAUCAACUUUGUUUGUUUGUGUUUAAUAAUUAGGUUGUAUGGUUCAAUAUUUCCACUAAUCAUGGUCUGACGGUUGACCGUUUAAAUAAAAUAACAGGUCCAGUUUGGU
rnacentral:lncRNA from 1 species